UGAGGUGGGUUUUGUCUAGCACUCCCUCUCACCGCUCCUUCGAGGCCGAUAAACGGCACGCGCAAGGCAUGAAUUUUGCAGUCUUGUUGUUUCCGAGGACAUAGUCAUCGUUUGGUAAAUGCUGGUAUGAAGUGGGGAACGAGUUUUGCGAUACGCUAGCAAGUUUAUAAAAUGUAAUCGGGUUACAUUGUGUGAAUGUGAACUGUGAAGGUAGUAGAACCUGGCUCAUGUGUAGUUGGCUGAGUGAACUCGUGGCAGUACUGAUGUUUGUGGCAUGAACUGUAACGUGAUGAUAUAUGGUACGGUCUUGAGUAUGCGCCUGUUAUGGAUGUGAACCAACUUAAUGCAACAUAUGUAUAUCGAUUUUGCAACUUGAUGUUUCUCUGGUACUGAUGAUACUAUAAAUUCUGGGGUUGUUGUACGUUUGCUGUUGGCCUGCUGUAGGUGAAAACAAAAGGCAGAUACAUCCGGUAUCAGCCAGGCGUGCAAGCUGAUGACAUAUCGCGCUAGGAAAGAGGAUCACAUCCACUAAUCAGAAGCAAAGUAGAGAGAGAGUAGGACGUGAAAGAGAGCAGCGAUGUCAUGUACGCUGACGAUGAGAAACACUGCGGGCUUUCCUUUCCUUGAGCAAGCGGAGAAAGGGCAGACAACCUUGUGUCUUGCGGUGGCAUCAGUUGGCCUGGUCGUUUGCCCCGGUGGCAAGCUAAGCACAGAUACCAAAACUAAGCGGCAAGAAAGGCAGAAGAGCAUCAGUUCACCCUCGAGCCCAUGGCACAGCACACUAGUGCUACGAUGCAAGUGACCGGGACGCUUCCUCGAGAAAGCAAAAAGAGUUGGCUCAACAGCGAGCAGGAUCAUCGUCGCCACGCCACUACACCUCACUCACAUCUACAUACAUGGAUCAUCGAUCUGUCCUUUUUCCUCUUUCUGCCGCCGGCUUUUCCACUGCUUUCUUUCUUUCUUAUCGAUGGCCGCUCCUCCGAUCCACGCUUCCUCUUCUCUCCAGUGGCCCAGCCUCAGCUAUAAUAUAGCAAGCGCCUCCUCCUCGGCCUCCUCGAGCGGUGCAGUAGACAAUACUGGUGUCAGGCUACCGGUGUCAGUCAGUCCGAGUGUCCGACUGUCCAGAGUACAGGGCAGAGGAAGCAACCGACAGUGGAGAUCAUGGCUCGCAACUGCAGAAUCAGCAGCUUGCCGCCGCCGUCGCUGCUCUUCUUCCUGCUUAUCAUGCUCUCUACCACCACGCACUGCGGUAAGCUCACUCCAUCCAGUGAACCAAGAUACUAUAACAGUCGUCAUUUAAAAAAAUCCUUUCUCGUUUUUUCUGUUCUGCGUUUGAGUGGAGUGGAGUGGAGUGAAAACAGUGUGGAGUCUCACAGUGACCAGCUCUCGCUAAUCUGUCUGUUAACCUGCAUUGUGCUAACUAAUUGGAGUCCUUUGUGUUGGUGGAGCAGAGGCGAGAGCUCUAAAGCAGGGCAAGAAGAACUCGCUGAUGAACGUGCUCUUCAAGCUCAACUUCGCCAGAGCGGUGGAGCCGACGCAAGCGCAACUACCCCCUCCCUCGUCGCUCGACGCCAGCGCUGGCAGCGACGCCGCGAGCGCGAGCCUCGCCGCCGUCGAUGCCCCGUUCUGCGUCAACCCUCCCGACGCUCCUCCCUCGUCGUCCACGCCUCCAUUCACCUCCACGGCGCCCUCCUCCACCACCCCGUCCGUCCCCGACCAGCUGCCGCCCAUCACCCCCGUCCCGCCGUCAUUCGAGCCCAGCCCGCCGGCCGGCGGCGGUGGCGCCACCCCGGGCUCCAGUCCGGGUCUGGGCACGCCCACGCCGAUCAACCCGCCGCAGUUCGCCCCGAGCCCGCCUGGGACGGCGCCGCCCAGCCCGAUCGUCGUUGUGCCGAACCCGCCCGACGAAUUCGGCCCAGGCUCGGGCGGCGGAGGACCAGGAGGAGGACAGGGAGGAGGCGUAGGAGGAGGAGGCGGUGGUGGAGGAGAAGGAGGAGGCGGAGGCGCAGGAGGAGGUGGUGGUGGAGGAGGAGAAGGAGGCGGAGGCGGAGGCGUAGGAGGAAGCGGUGGAGGAGAAGGAGGAGGCGGCGGGGGCGGCGGUUUCAUGCCGCCGAUCAUCUACCCUCCGCCGCUGGCCCCUCCGAUGGCGCCGGGGUCCGGGCAGGCGCUGUGGUGCGUGGCGAAGCCGACGGUGCCGGACCCGAUCCUCCAGGAGGCCAUGGACUACGCGUGCGGCUCCGGCGCCGAGUGCCGGUCCAUCCAGCCGUCCGGCGCCUGCUCCCAGCCGGACACCGUGCUCGCCCACGCCUCCUACGCCUUCAACAGCUACUGGCAGAUGACCCGGGCCAACGGCGGCACCUGCGACUUCGGCGGCACCGCCACCAUCGUCACCAGCGACCCAAGUAAGGCCUCAAACCUCGAGUAAGCUUCGCGUGUCAAUGCAUUAAGCAGCUCCAUCCACCCUCCCACCCAUGAACCAUCAUCCAUGCACGCAUGAAUACUCAUGAUCGAUCUUGAUUUUCUGUCUGUCAUGAUCUCUGCAGGCUAUGACAGUUGCGCGUUCAACCUUGUAUGAGGGGUCUGAUUGAGGGUACGCAGAGGCUGCAGAUCGAUGAGCCAAUUUUCAGCUAUCAUGAGGAGGAUCUUUUCUGUUCCAUUUGUUUCGAGGCCACAAAGCACCGAAGGCUUAGUAAGGAGUAGCUGAGAUUAGUGUGAUUUUGAUUCUGGCAAGACUGCUGAUACCGUGUAAAGGCGAUUCCUUGACAUGUGCAUUAUACUAGUACGUAGCUUCUUGGGCAAGAAGAUGCUUAAUCGUGCCCCUCUUGUAACUUUAAACCUUCUUGACCAAAUUAGUUUAGUUUAUUUAAGCCAGCCAUAUAUGCCUAACUUGGUGUUCACGCUAACCCAGUUAGUAGCACUAGGAAAGUUGGAUUCUGUCCGAUCACGUACGAGCUCGACUCUUUGUUCCACACUUGAUCCAACUAAGCAUCUCCAGAUAAACAUAGUACCCCCUCCGUAAAGAAAAUAUAAGAGCGUUUAGAUCACUAAAGUAGUCGUCUAAACACGGGACUCUUAUAUUUCUUUACAGAUGUAGUACGUGAUAACUAGGACUGAGAAGGAUAUAGACACAAGAACCCAGUGAAAGAGCUCUAUAUUGACGGGACAAAAUGCAGGAAAUGCACUUUAGCUAGCUACCGGAGCACUGACAAAGCACAAACAGCCAAGAACACGAUGCAGCAGAGCUUAUCAACUCUAAGUGAUAGCAGAAUAAACAGACCUGCUAUCUUUUACAGAACAUGCGGCCAACACAAUACUUGCAUCAAGAUGUAUAAAUGCACCAUCUGCAAGUGCAAUGCCGAGACAGCUACAAGGUUUUACAGCAGAUACGAAGCUUAAUUCACAUAAACUACGUCAAAAAUCAAAUAAGUAGUGGUAUUUGUUUCUGCUACGCCACAUACACGGAGUGUAUAUCUACCGCCGGCUGUAUCCGUCCCAUCAGCCUUUUCUUUUUCUUUUUUCAAGCGAGCACCUGCCUGGAAAUCCUUAAUUUUUCUGAUUGCAUGGCCAGCGAUGGGUUUCUGAUCUGGGGUUUUAGUGGCUCGCUGAUAACUGCAUUCACCGCGCUCACCAUUUCGUUCGGCGAGCUAAACCCAUCGGUCUGGGAGUAGAACAAGUGAACUGUCUUGCACAUCUUCCAGAACAGCUCCUUGCACGGCCUAGGAACAGCAGUGUCUUCCCUGAGAACCAGCUUUAGCAAGUCUUUUCUACAUGACGCUAUGGACUUCCGUAUCGUUUCUUUAGCCGUUUCAAUGGACAAAGAACCACCAUUGUGGAGAACAAGUAGUGAAACAUAAUCCAGGUUUCCCUCCAUGCUCUCCCUCUGUUACAAAUAGAUAAAAAAACUGUCAGAGCAACCAAAUUACAGCUUACAGGUCUAAACUACAUGACAACAGUGAUGAGUAAUUACUACUCUAUAUUAUGAUUAUAUAACAACAGGAUACACAACUACUAGUUCAAUUCUAGCUUCUGGGAGCAAACAUCAGCAUGUCUUCUACCAUCGUUUUGAACUCUUAAGAAAUAUCGUACAAGCAUUUAGGUGUGUGUUUUACAAUAAUAAAUUAUUGACAUGAUCAUGAAGGACUGUAAAUCUUGAUUUUUGUUAGAAUUUGUAGUCGUCGAGGAUUGCGAUGGUGUCUCUAUCUCACCACAUAUCUGUUUACUGUUUGUUCGGACAACCAUCACGAUACUUGUUUAUAUUAAGAUGAAAGGAAUUUGCCUGUUGUGGUAUGUGAAGCAUAUAACUGAAGAACAUAUGUUUAUGACAUAUGCGAAUGUGAUGUGCGUCGAUAGGAAGUUUAGCAUAAAAGGGGGCCCAAAUACCUCAAGGCCUUGGAUAUCAUUGAGAAGACGACCGCAAGUGCUCAUUAGCCUAAAUAACUCAUUGUAUUCUUGAUCAUUGACUACGCAGUCCGAGAUCUUUUCCCCGAUAAAAUACAAUGAUGUGAGCACAGUGGGCCCCAGUGUGAAUGAAACAACUGCAUUUGACAUGUAUUGCUCAAUUGUUGGCACAUAUUGCCUCAUCCGCCAUUCUGCCUCAGACAUCAUAGACCUCAACAGCUGAAGCCACUGCAGAUAGAUUCAACAUGUCAACACUGAACACAGAAAAUUUGAGAAUCAGGCGAACACAAUGAAACUCACUAAUUCUAUCAGGUGCUUUUGCACAUCACGGUUUUGUACUGCAGAAGCCACUGCUGCAAGUUGAUUCACUGUAGUAUAGAUAGCACAAAAUAAUAUCUUCACUUGCUCAGAGUAGAACUCAUCUUUGGAGUGCUCAUCCCACCUAAGACAAACAUUAGCAAAUAAGGGAUCAUAACUUGUUAGCAAUGUGCCAGACACCAACUCUACUUACAAAAUGAAGGACCAAGGUGGUUACUUCUCAACUAAUGCUAUGAGGUUUUCAUGUUCUUCUUGUGAUCCUCCAACAUCGAAGAAAUCAUCAACAACAGUUGUGAGCACUCCAUUUUUUGACCAUGACAUGCGAGCAUCAGACAGUUCAGGAGGAAAUAUGGUAGCAGCAGCAGCGAGAUAACAAUAUGACAGCUUCUGACGUGCAAACUGUAGCUGGUCCAACCGGUUCUCUUUCGCCCAACUGUUGCCACAAAAUUUGUAAGUUUUCUAAGAAAGAAAGUUAAUAAGGCAAGAGUUCAUAAAUGUUAGAUCACCUUUCAAGAUGCAGGAGUUCAUACUGGUAAAUAGAUUGAGAAAAAUCGAAAUCUUGAAUAGCCAAAGCCAGAAAAUCUUGGUUGACGCAACAUGGCCUGCUUCAGCAAAAUGUCUAGCAUUGGUGUAACAUCUUUAUUUAUAUAAUAUAUGAUUCACGGACCAUUAUUUUCGGGAAUUGAUACUCUUACAACUGUUCUACCUUUAGCAUCUGAGAACCACACACAUUAAAGUGUUCAAUGUUCCUCUUGUGGUCUAGACGUUCCAUUGUGGCAUAAAAGGGAAAUUUGAGAGCAUACUCCACCUGAAAUUACAAAAAACAAAAAGAAAACUUAACAACCAACAAAAGCUAGGACCAGUUCACUUUCUGAGAUUUAAAUUCCAUUUAAGCACCUCUUGAAAGUGUGGCGUUGUUUGCACCCAGUCGGAGAACAACUUUUCUGUCAAUAAACUGGCUGACCAGUCGCCUAUGUUAUCUAGAAUACAUUCAUUUUCUGAGACACUGACCUCCGAAGCCUUGUAUAGUUCCAAUAUAGAUUUUGUAUCAUUUAAAUAUCCCUGAAGUGAGUUGUGGAAAGUGGUUUCAUCAACAUGAUACAGAUCAUCUGCGUUAUAUUGAAAUUAGGUAGUUAAUUAGAUAUACAAAAAAGAAAAGUAUAAAAUUAGUACGACGGGAAAUUCCUGCCCAAGGAAAUACCUGAGGAAACAUCAUAUCCAUUCAUCCGCAAAAGACGAAAUGCCAUUGCACAUGCUGCUACAUCUAACAUGAUUUCCUCAUCUUUCUGUAACCAGAAACUGCAAUGUGGAUACAAUCAAGUUCACAAGCUACGAAUGAUAAAUAUUAAAACUUUAUUCGUGAUCGUUACCUGUAUGCCACAUCCAGGAUGCUCUUUAUCUCACUAGAAAAAUACUGAGAUAUCCCGAUUUUUUCAAGAGAAUCUACCAUUGAAAGCUGAUUGUAUAUAUGUGUUGGAUAAACUGUUGGUACUGCACAAGUCUAUUUCGUUAGGUAAUUAGCCACAAUCUAAGCCGUUACAAAUUCCUAACAAAGAAAGGCACAUAGACACACCUGAACUACCAAAUUUGCUUACAAGUAAUUUUACAUACUGCAGGGCUUUGUCAUCAAAAUUGUGGAUUAAUGCAGCAGCAGUUGUCGAAGGAGAGUUGAACAACGAUCCAUUCUUCCUUUGGAACUUCAUAACUUGAUUCCAGUCCAGCAGGUUUCCUAGACCUUCAGCGAAAUAAGCCAUAUAUGCUUUCCUCCCAUCAGAUUUAUCCCCAAUAAGUCUGCAUUAAAUUCAUGUAUAAUAUAAGGAUUUUAAAAAUAUCACUCACAACUAGUACAUGUCAUAGUCAACUUCGGACUGCCAAUUUCAGCUAGGAUAAGACAUACGAAUGACACGUGUCCCCCUUUCCCUUCAAGUAAUGGUUCUUAGAAAUCUUUCAGAAAAUAAAAGUACUUACAAAAAAUUUCAACUUCUACAAGCAGAAAGAUAAGGAAAUAAAGCAGACGGAAAAUUUCCAUCAUGUAUGAUGUAACCACUCCCAACAACCUUACUUUUAGAAAUUAGCUAUCCCUGAAGUGUAAACAGGAUCAGAAAGGAAACACACCAUAAUUUUCAUGCCAGAUUUGUCAAACCUUUUCAGUUCCACCUCCCGGAGGUGAAGAAUCCUAUCAACAUCAAUUUGUCCAACCGGAAAUUCCAAUCCCAUCUCAAUCCCAAGGCUAAGCAUACCCGAAAAUGUGAUAUUGAAGCCUAUAGGAGUAGCACUCUGUUCAUCUAUAGCAGCCGAUAAAUUUCUUCCAAUGAAAUGUAGUCCUGACAGUUACCAUUUUCAUCACAUCAAGGCCAUUGGUCUGGUAAAAAUUAAAAAUACAAGACAAUAAAGUGUUAGUUCAUCUUUGCUUCAUACCUCUCCUGAUAAGCUCCCCGCCAACAUUCCACCUCUUAAGUGCCAACACACAAGCCAAUGUGGAUGAGAGGACAUCUUUGUUGAUGGAGGAGUCCAUUUGGAUGAGACCCCAAGAUCCAUUGCUCUGCUGGUUUUGUAGGAUCCACUCAACACACUGCGGGAAGCAUGGAACUUGAGGAGAGCCCGGCAAGGGCACCAUAGCCACCCACGCGGUGUCGUAGGAAGAUGGCAACAACUCAGGUUCCAGGAGCUGCUUCCUUAUUCUAGCCUUCCGUUCCUGAUUUAAUUGAGACAAGAAUCAUGUGACAAGACCCUCAAACAUCUAUCUGAAACAAGGAUCGGUAGUGAUGGACAUACUACAUACCAUGUUUUGCAGGCUUGUAUUUUCUCCAGCAGAUCCCCUCUCUGGAUUUUCUGUUUCUACAUAGGAGAUGUGUACUUCACAUAUCAAUUGACACAUCUCAAUUUUUUUAUAAAGGAAUGCUUGAGGAAAUUGGGACAUCACUAGUGUUCUUUUUUUAACCAGGGACAUUACCCAUGUAAAUACCACAGACAGUGAUACUCUCACUCUCAGACAUAAAACUAUGACAUUAAACCAACACUAAGAAAUUGUAUGAAGUGUAUUUUCAUAGAUGUUCAGAGUUGUACUAAUUACCGUGGAAUUAAGUUGAUGAGCCAUACAAUGAAGCUAUGGGAGAGAGUCAUUGAGCACCGCUUAAGAAGAAUGACAAGCGUGACCAAAAAUCAGUUUGGUUUCAUGCCUGGGAGGUCGACCAUGGAAGCCAUUUUCUUGGUACGACAACUUAUGGAGAGAUAUAGGGAGCAAAAGAGGGACUUGCAUAUGGUGUUUAUUGACUUGGAGAAGGCCUAUGAUAAGAUACCGCAGAAUGUCAUGUGGUGGGCCUUGGAGAAACACAAAGUCCCAGCAAAGUACAUUACCCUCAUCAAGGACAUGUACGAUAAUGUUGUGACAAGUGUUCGAACAAGUGAUGUCGACACCGAUGACUUCCCGAUUAAGAUAGGACUACAUCAGGGGUCAGCUUUGAGCCCUUAUCUUUUUGCAUUGGUGAUGGAUGAGGUCACAAGGGAUAUACAAGGAGAUAUCCCAUGGUGUAUGCUCUUUGCAGAUGAUUCGGUGCUAGUUGACGAUAGUCGGACGGGGGUAAAUAGGAAGUUAGAGUUAUGGAGACAAACCUUGGAAUCGAAAGGGUUUAGGCUUAGUAGAACUAAAACCGAGUACAUGAUGUGCGGUUUCAGUACUACUAGGUGUGAGGAGAAGGAGGUUAGCCUUGAUGGUCGGGUGGUACCUCGGAAGGACACCUUUCGAUAUUUGGGGUCAAUGUUGCAGGAGGAUGGGGGUAUUGAUAAAGAUGUGAACCAUCGAAUCAAAGCCGGAUGGAUGAAGUGGCGCCAAGCUUCUGGCAUUCUCUGUGACAAGAGAGUGCCACAAAAGCUAAAAGGCAAGUUCUACAGGACGGCGGUUCGACCCGCAAUGUUGUAUGGCGCGGAGUGUUGGCCGACUAAAAGGCGACAUGUUCAACAGUUAGGUGUGGCGGAGAUGCGUAUGUUGAGAUGGAUGUGUGGCCACACGAGGAAGGAUCGAGUCCGGAAUGAUGAUAUACGAGAUAGAUUUGGGGUAGCACCAAUUGAGGAGAAGCUUGUCCAACAUCGUCUGAGAUGGUUUGGGCAUAUUCAGCGCAGGCCUCCAGAAGCUCCAGUGCAUAGCGGACGGCUAAAGCGUGCGGAGAAUGUCAAGAGAGGGCGGGUAGACCGAAUUUGACAUGGGAGGAGUCCGUUAAGAGAGACCUGAAGGAUUGGAGUAUCACCAAAGAGCUAGCUAUGGACAGGGGUGCGUGCUUCCAUGUGCCAGAGCCAUGAGUUGGUUGCGAGAUCUUAUGGGUUUCACCUCUAGCCUACCCCAACUUGUUUGGGACUAAAGGUUGUUGUUGUUGUUGUUGUUGUUGUUGUUUGUAUUUUCAUAGAUGUGCAGCUAACUGAGGUUAAUUAGUUGGAUGUUAAGUUGUAUGAUUAGACUUGCCUCUCUCUUCAUGGAGAACAGGAUGAAGGAAAGCUACAGCUACUCGAUCUUCCCCUAAAAUAUGCUCAAGCUAUCCUAAUGCCACCACUGCAGCUACUUCCUUGAAGCAUAUGCUGGCCGUGGCCGCCUGCCGCGGGUCUGACCCCAUGGUGUCAUGCCGCCGCCUCGAGAGUCUAGACCACCGGUCGCAUGCUACCACAAGAGCUAACCAUGGUCGUCGCAUUGAGGGGGGAGGGCGAGGGAUCGGUACCAGUUGUUGCGGUGGGGAGUGGACGGCGAGGACAUUUGGCAGUGGACGUUUCAGAGGCGGCGAUGAUGGCUCCGAGGUCUACGGAGGAGAGAGUGAAUGGAGAGCAUAGAUAACCCCCCCCCCCCCGCAGCCCCCGCGUCGCCCGCUCGGCUAGGGUUUCCGCCUAGCGCCGCCACCCCUCACCUCCUUCCCCCCUCGUCGCCACCCGAGGUAGCCGCCGGCAAGCCUGCGCGGUCGCCGGUGACGGUGGCGGUGAGGCCCUGCUAGCUCCGUCCCUGGCCGAGGACUCCGGAUCUGGGGCGACGGCCCUUCUUGGCGCGUCGGCGGCGCCCUCCCGGCUGGCGGCAUCCAUGGGAGAUCCUGGCCGGCGCUCUCGACCACGCGGGUGGUGUGACGACGGCGGGCGAUGGUGUUGGAAAUAUGCCCUAGAGGCGAUAAUAAAUGGUUAUUAUUAUAUUUCUUUGUUCAUGAUAAUAGUCUAUUAUUCAUGCUAUAAUUGUAUUGUCCGGAAAUCGUAAUACAUGUGUGAAUACAUAGACCACAACGUGUCCCUAGUAAGCCUCUAGUUGACUAGCUCGUUGAUCAACAGAUAGUCAUGGUUUCCUGACUAUGGACAUUGGAUGUCAUUGAUAACGGGAAAACAUCAUUAGGAGAAUGAUGUGAUGGACAAGACCCAAUCCUAAGCUUAGCAUAAAAGAUCGUGUAGUUUCGUUUGCUAGAGCUUUUCCAAUGUCAAGUAUCUUUUCCUUAGACCAUGAGAUCGGGAAACUCCCGGAUACCGUAGGAGUGCUUUGGGUGUGCCAAACGUCACAACGUAACUGGGUGACUAUAAAGGUGCACUACGGGUAUCUCCGAAAGUGUCUGUUGGGUUGGCACGGAUCGAGACUGGGAUUUGUCACUCCGUGUGACGGAGAGGUAUCUCUGGGUCCACUCGGUAAUGCAUCAUCAUAAUGAGCUCAAUGUGAGUAAGGCGUUAGUCACGGGAUCAUGCAUUGCGGUACGAGUAAAGAGACUUGCCGGUAACGAGAUUGAACAAGGUAUUGGGAUACCGACGAUCGAAUCUCGGGCAAGUAACAUACCGAUUGACAAAGGGAAUUGCAUACGGAUUGACUGAAUCCUCGACACCAUGGUUCAUCCGAUGAGAUCAUCGUGGAACAUGUGGGAGCCAACAUGGGUAUCCAGAUCCCGCUGUUGGUUAUUGACCGGAGAGGCGUCUUGGUCAUGUCUGCAUGUCUCCCGAACCCGUAGGGUCUACACACUUAAGGUGCGGUGACGCUAGGGUUGUAGAGAUAUAUGUAUGCGGAAACCCGAAAGUUUUUCGGAGUCCCGGAUGAGAUCCCGGACGUCACGAGAGGUUCCAGAAUGGUCCGGAGGUGAAGAAUUAUAUAUAGGAAGUCCAGUUUCGGCCACCGGGAAAGUUUCGGGGGUUACCGGUAUUGUACCGGGACCACCGGAAGGGUCCCGGGGGUCCACCGGGUGGGGCCACCUAUCCCGGAGGGCCCCGUGGGCUGAAAGUGGAAGGGAACCAGCCCUUAGUGGGCUGGGGCGCCCCCCUUGGGCCUCCCCCCAUGCGCCUAAGGUUGGGAACCCUAGGGGGGGAGUCCCCCCUUGCCUUGGGGGGCAAGGCAACCCCUUCCCCCCCUUGUGGCCGCCGCCCCCCCAUGAGAUCUCAUCUCUAGGGCCGGCGCCCCCCCAGGGGGCCUAUAUAAAGGGGGGAGGGAGGGCAGCAACCUACAGCCUUGGGCGCCUCCCUCCUCCCCUGCAACACCUCUCUCUCUCUCUCGCAGAAGCUUAGCGAAGCCCUGCCGAGACCCGCUACAUCCACCACCACGCCGUCGUGCUGCUGGAUCUCCAUCAACCUCUCCUUCCCCCUUGCUGGAUCAAGAAGGAGGAGACGUCGCUGCACCGUACGUGUGUUGAACGCGGAGGUGCCGUCCGUUCGGCACUCGGUCAUCGGUGAUUUGGAUCACGGCGAGUACGACUCCGUCAUCCACGUUCAUUGGAACGCUUCCGCUCGCGAUCUACAAGGGUAUGUAGAUGCACUCCCUUCCCCUUGUUGCUAGUACACUCCAUAGAUGCAUCUUGGUGAGCGUAGGAAAAUUUUAAAAUUAUGCUACGAUUCCCAACAGUGGCAUCAUGAGCCAGGCCUAUGCGUAGUUACUAUGCACGAGUAGAACACAAAGCAGUUGUGGGCGUUGAGUUUGCCAAUUCUUCUUGCCGCUACUAGUCGUUUCUUGUUUCGGCGGCAUUGUAGGAUGAAGCGGCCCGGACCGACCUUACACGUAUGCUUACGUGAGACAGGUUCCACCGACUGACAUGCACUAGUUGCAUAAGGUGGCUAGCGGGUGUCUGUCUCUCCUACUUUAGUCGGAACGGAUUCGAUGAAAAGGGUCCUUAUGAAGGGUAAAUAGAAAUUGGCAAAUCACGUUGUGGUCAUACGUAGGUAAGAAAACGUUCUUGCUAGAAACCUACAAACCACGUAAAUACUUGCAACAACAAUUAGAGGACGUCUAACUUGUUUUUGCAACAAGUGCUAUGUGAUGUGAUAUGGCCAGAAGAUGUGAUGAAUGAUAUAUGUGAUGUAUGAGAUUGAUCAUAUUCUUGUAAUAGGAAUCACGACUUGCAUGUCGAUGAGUAUGACAACCGGCAGGAGCCAUAGGAGUUGUCUUUAUUAUUUUGCAUGACCUGCGUGUCGUUGAAUAACGCCAUGUAAAUUACUUUACUUUGUUGCUAAACGCGUUAGCCAUAGAAGUAGAAGUAAUCGUUGGCGUGACGACUUCAUGAAGACACAAUGAUGGAGAUCAUGAUGAUGGAGAUCAUGGUGUCAUGCCGGUGACGAAGAUGAUCAUGGUGCCCCGAAGAUGGAGAUCAAAGGAGCAUGAUGACAUUGGCCAUAUCAUGUCACUAUUUGAUUGCAUGUGAUGUUUGUCAUGUUUUUGCAUCUUAUUUGCUUAGAACGACGGUAGUAAGUAAGAUGAUCCCUUAUAAUAAUUUCAAGAAAGUGUUCACCCUAACUGUGCACCGUUGUGAAGGUUCGUUGUUUCGAUCACCACGUGAUGAUCGGGUGUGAUAGAUCCUAACGUUCGAAUACAACGGGUGUUGACGAGCCUAGCAUGUACAGACAUGGCCUCGGAACACACGCAAUACACUUAGGUUGACUUGACGAGCCUAGCAUGUACAGACAUGGCCUCGGAACACGGAGGACCGAAAGGUCGAGCAUGAGUCGUAUAGAAGAUACGAUCAACAUGGAGAUGUUCACCGAUCUUGACUAGUCCGUCUCACGUGAUGAUCGGACACGGCCUAGUUAAAGUCGGAUCAUGUUUCACUUAGAUGACUAGAGGGAUGUCUAUCUGAGUGGGAGUUCAUUAAAAAUUUGAUUAGAUGAACUUAAUUAUCAUGAACUUAGUCUAAAAUCUUUACACUAUGUAUUGUAGAUCAAAUGGCCCACGUUGUCCUCAAUUUCAACGCGUUCCUAGAGAAAACCAAGCUGAAAGAUGAUGGCAGCAACUAUACGGACUGGGUCCGGAACCUGAGGAUCAUCCUCAUAGUAGCCAAGAAAUAUUAUGUCUUAGAAGCACCGCUAGGUGAUGCACCAAUCCCACAGAACCAAGACGUUAUGAACGCUUGGCAAUCACGUGCUGAUGAUUACUCCCUCGUUCAGUGCGGCAUGCUUUACAGCUUAGAACCGGGUCUCCAAAAGCGUUUUGAGAAACAUGGAGCAUAUGAGAUGUUCGAGGAGCUGAAACUGGUUUUUCAAGCUCAUGCCCGGGUCGAGAGAUAUGAUGUCUCCGACAAGUUCUUCAGCUGUAAAAUGGAGGAGAACAGUUCUGUUAGUGAGCACAUACUCAGAAUGUCUGGGUUGCACAACCGCUUGUCUUAGCUGGGAGUUAAUCUCCCGGAUGACGCGGUCAUUGACAGAAUCCUCCAGUCGCUUCCACCAAGCUACAAGAGCUUUGUGAUGAACUACAAUAUGCAGGGGAUGGAAAAGACCAUUCCCGAGGUAUAUUCAAUGCUAAAAUCAGCGGAAGGGGAGAUCAGAAAAGAACAUCAAGUGUUGAUGGUGAAUAAAACCACCAAGUUCAAGAAGGGCAAGGGUAAGAAGAACUUCAAGAAGGACGGCAAGGGAGUUGCCGCGCCCGGUAAACCAGUUACUGGGAAGAAGUCAAAGAAUGGACCCAAGCCCGGAACUGAGUGCUUUUAUUGCAAGGGAAGUGGUCACUGGAAGCGGAACUGCCCCAAAUAUUUAGCGGACAAGAAGAAGGCCGGCAACACCCAAGGUAUAUGUGAUUUACAAGUAAUUGAUGUGUACCUUACCAGUACUCGUAGUAGCUCCUGGGUAUUUGAUACCGGUGCGGUUGCUCAUAUUUGUAACUCAAAACAGGAACUACGGAAUAAACGGAGACUGGCAAAGGACGAGGUGACGAUGCGCGUCGGGAAUGGUUCCAAGGUCGAUGUGAUCGCCGUCGGCACGCUACCUCUGCAUCUACCCACGGGAUUAGUUUUAAACCUCAAUAAUUGUUAUUUAGUGCCAGCUUUGAGCAUGAACAUUGUAUCUGGAUCUCGUUUAAUUCGAGAUGGCUACUCAUUUAAAUCCGAGAAUAAUGGUUGUUCUAUUUAUUUGAGAGAUAUGUUUUAUGGUCAUGCCCCGCUGGUCAAUGGUUUAUUUUUGAUGAAUCUCGAACGUGAUGUUACACAUGUUCAUAGUGUGAAUACCAAAAGAUGUAAAGUUGAUAACGAUAGUCCCACAUACUUGUGGCACUGCCGCCUUGGUCACAUUGGUGUUAAGCGCAUGAAGAAGCUCCAUGCAGAUGGACUUUUGGAGUCUCUUGAUUACGAAUCAUUUGACACGUGCGAACCAUGCCUCAUGGGUAAGAUGACCAAGACUCCGUUCUCCGGAACAAUGGAGCGAGCAACGAACUUAUUGGAAAUCAUACAUACCGAUGUGUGUGGUCCAAUGAGUGUUGAGGCUCGCGGAGGGUAUCGUUAUGUUCUCACUCUCACUGAUGAUUUAAGUAGAUAUGGAUAUGUCUACCUGAUGAAACACAAGUCUGAAACCUUUGAAAAGUUCAAGGAAUUUCAGAGUGAAGUUGAGAAUCAACGUGACAGGAGAAUAAAAUUCCUACGAUCAGAUCGUGGUGGAGAAUAUUUAAGUCACGAGUUUGGUGCACACUUAAGGAAAUGUGGAAUAGUUUCACAACUCACGCCGCCUGGAACACCUCAGAGAAAUGGUGUGUCCGAACGUCGUAAUCGCACUCUAUUGGAUAUGGUGCGAUCUAUGAUGUCUCUUACCGAUUUACCGCUCUCAUUUUGGGGUUAUGCUUUAGAGACUGCCGCAUUCACUUUAAAUAGGGCUCCGUCGAAAUCCGUUGAGACGACACCGUAGGAAUUAUGGUUUGGGAAGAAACCUAAGCUGUCGUUUCUAAAAGUUUGGGGAUGCGAUGCUUAUGUCAAGAAACUUCAACCUGAAAAGAUCGAACCCAAAUCGGAAAAAUGCGUCUUCAUAGGAUACCCUAAGGAAACUAUUGGGUACACCUUCUACCUCAGAUCCGAAGGCAAGAUCUUCGUUGCAAAGAACGGGUCCUUUCUAGAGAAGGAGUUUCUCUCGAAAGAAUUGAGUGGGAGGAAAGUGGAACUUGAUGAGGUGAUAGUCACCCCUUCUGAACCGGAAAGUAGCGCAGCACGGGAAAAUGUUCCUGUGGUGCCUACACCGACUGGGGAGGAAGUUAAUGAUGAUGAUCAUGAAGCUUCAGAUCAAGUUACUGAACUUCGUAGGUCCACAAGGACACGUUCCGCACCAGAGUGGUACGGCAACCCUGUCUUGGAAAUCAUGUUGUUAGACAACGGUGAACCUUCGAACUAUGAAGAAGCGAUGGCGGGCCCGGAUUCCGACAAAUGGCUAGAAGCCAUGAAAUCCGAGAUAGAAUCCAUGUAUGAAAACAAAGUAUGGACUUUGACUGACUUGCCCGAUGAGCGGCGAGCCAUAGAAAACAAAUGGAUCUUUAAGAAGAAGACGGACGCAGAUGGUAAUGUGACCAUCCACAAAGCUCGACUUGUCGCUAAGGGUUAUCGACAAGUUCAAGGGGUUGACUACGAUGAGACUUUCUCACCCGUAGCGAAGCUGAAGUCCGUCCGAAUCAUGUUAGCAAUUGCCGCAUACUAUGAUUAUGAGAUAUGGCAGAUGGACGUCAAAACGGCAUUCCUUAACGGCUUCCUUAAGGAAGAGUUGUAUAUGAUGCAGCCGGAAGGUUUUGUCGAUCCUAAGAAUGCUAACAAAGUAUGCAAGCUCCAACGCUCAAUCUAUGGGCUGGUGCAAGCAUCUCGGAGUUGGAACAUUCGCUUUGAUGAGAUGAUCAAAGCGUUUGGGUUUACACAGACUUAUGGAGAAGCCUGUGUUUACAAGAAAGUGAGUGGGAGCUCUGUAGCAUUUCUCAUAUUAUAUGUGGAUGACAUAUUAUUGAUGGGAAAUGAUAUAGAAUUAUUGGAAAGUAUAAAGGCCUAUUUGAAUAAGUGUUUUUCAAUGAAGGACCUUGGAGAAGCUGCUUAUAUAUUAGGCAUCAAGAUCUAUAGAAAUAGAUCAAGACGCCUCAUUGGUCUUUCACAGAGUACAUACCUUGACAAGAUAUUGAAGAAGUUCAGUAUGGAUCAGUCCAAGAAGGGGUUCUUGCCUGUAUUGCAAGGUGUGCAAUUGAGCACGGCUCAAUGCCCGACCACGGCAGAAGAUAUAGAAGAGAUGAGUGUCAUCCCCUAUGCCUCGGCCAUAGGGUCUAUUAUGUAUGCCAUGCUGUGUACCAGACCUGAUGUAAACCAUGCCGUAAGUUUGGUAGGAAGGUACCAAAGUAAUCCCGGCAAGGAACACUGGACAGCGGUCAAGAAUAUCCUGAAGUACCUGAAGAGGACUAAGGAUAUGUUUCUCGUUUAUGGAGGUGACGAAGAGCUCGUCGUAAAGGGUUACGUUGACGCUAGCUUCGACACAGAUCUGGAUGACUCGAAGUCACAGACCGGAUACGUGUAUAUUUUGAAUGGAGGAGCAGUAAGCUGGUGCAGUUGCAAGCAAAGUGUCGUGGCGGGAUCUACAUGUGAAGCAGAGUGCAUGGCAGCCUCGGAGGCAGCACAGGAAGCAGUCUGGAUGAAGGAGUUCAUUACCGACCUAGGGGUGAUUCCCAAUGCGUCGGGCCCAAUGACUCUCUUCUGUGACAACACUGGAGCUAUUGCCCUUGCGAAGGAGCCCAGGUUUCACAGGAAGACUAGGCAUAUCAAGCGUCGCUUCAACUCCAUUCGUGAAAGUGUUCAAAAUGGAGACAUAGAAAUUUGUAAAGUACACACGGACCUGAAUGUAGCAGAUCCGUUGACUAAACCUCUGCCUAGGGCAAAACAUGAUCAACACCAGGACGCAAUGGGUGUUCGAUUCAUCACAAUGUAACUAGAUUAUUGACUCUAGUGCAAGUGGGAGACUGUUGGAAAUAUGCCCUAGAGGCAAUAAUAAAUGGUUAUUAUUAUAUUUCUUUGUUCAUGGUAAUUGUCUAUUGUUCAUGCUAUAAUUGUAUUGUCCGGAAAUCGUAAUACAUGUGUGAAUACAUAGACCACAACGUGUCCCUAGUAAGCCUCUAGUUGACUAGCUCGUUGAUCAACAGAUAGUCAUGGUUUCCUGACUAUGGACAUUGGAUGUCAUUGAUAACGGGAUCACAUCAUUAGGAGAAUGAUGUGAUGGACUAGACCCAAUCCUAAGCAUAACAUAAAAGAUCGUGUAGUUUCGUUUGCUAGAGCUUUUCCAAUGUCAAGUAUCUUUUCCUUAGACCAUGAGAUCGUGCAACUCCCGGAUACCGUAGGAGUGCUUUGGGUGUGCCAAACGUCACAACGUCACUGGGUGACUAUAAAGGUGCAUUACGGGUAUCUCCGAAAGUGUCUGUUGGGUUGGCACGGAUCGAGACUGGGAUUUGUCACUCCGUGUGACGGAGAGGUAUCUCUGGGCCCACUCGGUAAUGCAUCAUCAUAAUGAGCUCAAUGUGACUAAGGCGUUAGUCACGGGAUCAUGCAUUGCGGUACGAGUAAAGAGACUUGCCGGUAACGAGAUUGAACAAGGUAUUGGGAUACCGACGAUCGAAUCUCGGGCAAGUAACAUACCGAUUGACAAAGGGAAUUGCAUACGGAUUGAUUGAAUCCUCGACACCGUGGUUCAUCCGAUGAGAUCAUCGUGGAACAUGUGGGAGCCAACAUGGGUAUCCAGAUCCCGCUGUUGGUUAUUGACCGGAGAGGCGUCUCGGUCAUGUCUGCAUGUCUCCCGAACCCGUAGGGUCUACACGCUUAAGGUCCGGUGACGCUAGGGUUGUAGAGAUAUAUGUAUGCGGAAACCCGAAAGUUGUUCGCAGUCCCGGAUGAGAUCCCGGACGUCACGAGAGGUUCCGGAAUGGUCCGGAGGUGAAGAAUUAUAUAUAGGAAGUCCAGUUUCGGCCACCGGGAAAGUUUCGGGGGUUACCGGUAUUGUACCGGGACCACCGAAAGGGUCCCGGGGGUCCACCGGGUGGGGCCACCUAUCCCGGAGGGCCCCGUGGGCUGAAAGUGGAAGGGAACCAGCCCUUAGUGGGCUGGGGCGCCCCCCUUGGGCCUCCCUCAUGCGCCUAGGGUUGGGAACCCUAGGGGGGAGUUCCCCCUUGCCUUGGGGGGCAAGGCACCCCUUCCCCCCCACUUGGCCGUCGCCCCCCCCUUUGGAUCUGAUCUCCAGGGCCGGCGCCCCCCCAGGGGGCCUAUAUAAAGGGGGGGAGGGAGGGCAGCAGAGAACAGCCUUUGGCGCCUCCCUCCUCCCUGCAACACCUCUCUCUCUCUCUCUUGCAGAAGCUCGGCGAAGCCCUGCCGGAGACCCGCUACAUCCACCACCACGCCGUCGUGCUGUUGGAUCUCCAUCAACCUCUCCUCCCCCCUUGCUGGAUCAAGAAGGAGGAGACGUCGCUGCACCGUACGUGUGUUGAACGCGGAGGUGCCGUCCGUUCGGCACUCGGUCAUCGGUGAUUUGGAUCACGGCGAGUACGACUCCGUCAUCCACGUUCAUUGGAACGCUUCCGCUCGCGAUCUACAAGGGUAUGUAGAUGCACUCCCUUCCCCUCGUUGCUAGUACACUCCAUAGAUGCAUCUUGGUGAGCGUAGGAAAAUUUUAAAUUAUGCUACGAUUCCCAACACAUGCUGCUCGCAAUCCUUGGUUCUUGUUUGCUGCGGUCGGCGGCGUGUUCUAGCUUGGGCUUUUAUGUUUUGAGCUAGUAUACUACGUUGAGUUGUAAGCUUCCUAGGGUGCUCCCGUGUAUCGUUCGGCCGAUGUGCCUGAUGUUGUGUUGUAAUUCCUGGCUGGUUGAUGGCUUUGUUAAUUCAAAGUCGGGCUCUUCGCGAGCCUUCGUUCUAAAAAAUAAUAUGGAGAGCAUAUUGGCUGCCCCGAAACUAUUCCCCCUUUUUUGUGGGGCAGUGCUAGGCGCCGGCACACCGGCACAAAUUUCGGCUGGACGCCUAACAGCCAUCCAAUCUGGUAAACUCGAGUCUACCAGAUCCGUCUAGUAGUUCUUUCAUCUCAAGGUCUGACACAAAAAAAGAAGACAACAAGACCUUUGAUCCUUCUCCAUGGAUGCAUGCCGCUGCCGCUCGCCAGUUGCAACACCGGCGCCCACUAGUCCGCCCCUCCCCUGUAGCAAAAAACGGCUUCCGGACGCAGCAAAAAACUGGCGGCCGUCGGUUACAACAAUGGCGGGGGUGCUGGUUCCUGCAUCCGUCGCAACACCAUUGGUGCAUAGAAAAAUGUCAUGUGCAUCAACGGCUCACCACCACUAGUAGAAAACAUGGCUUUGGUUCGGCCAGAAAAGAGCAUUAAUCCCGGUUGCAUUACGAACCGGGACUAAUGUGAGCAUUAGUCCCGGUUCGAGCAGCUAGGGCACCGUACAUGCAUUAGUCCCGGUUCAAAUGAGACCUUUAGUCCCGAUUGGUGCCAUGAACCGGGACUAAAGGGUGCGAUGCCCAUUAGUACCGGUUCGUGGCACCAACCGGUACUAAAGGUUAGACCUUUAGUCCCGGUUCGAGCCACCAACCGGUACUAAUGGGGUUUGAGGCAUUAGUAUCGGUUCAUGGCACGAACAGGUACUAAAGGUCCCAUUUUCAAACUCUACCCCCUGGAUCGCCUUUUCAGUUUUGUAAAAAGCAAAAGAAAAUGAUAAAAACUUCAAAAAUUAAAAUCCUUCUAGAUGUAGUUAUGUUACUACAUGUACUAGUUAGGAAAAUUUAAAAACUUAAAUUUGGACCUGUUUUGCAAAAAGUGUAGGGAAAAUGUAAAACGGCUAUAACUUUUGCAUACGAUGUCAGAAAAAAACGUAUAAUAUAUCAAAAUGUUCAGCACGAAAAUCCGCAUCCGAUUUUGACCGUCUAUGGCUUAUUUGCAAAUUUUUAGAAUCCUCAAAUUCUAAAAGGAAAAAAGUUAUGCUCAAAUUUCAGUGUUUUUUUGAAUUUUUGUUAAAUCUGGUCAAACUAUGGUCAAACUACUUAUUCAAGAAGUAUUAGUGUUACUAAAUAAUUAUUCAAGAAUAUUAGUGUUACUAAAUAAUUAUUUCAGUUUUUUUGAAUUUUGGUCAAAUCUGGUCAAACUGUGGUCAAACUAAUUAUUCAAGAAAUAUUACUGUUACUAAAUAAUUAUUUCAGUUUUUUUGAAUUUUGAUCAAAUCUGGUCAAACUGUGGUCAAACUACUUAUUCAAGAAAUAUUAGUGUUACUAAAUAAUUAUAACUCAAACAGUGAAAUGUGUGACUUCAUGCUCAAGCUAAAUUCCUGAGGGUUAAUAGGAUUGACAUCUUACUAUUGUCAAGAAAACAACAAGUGCAGACUUGGAAACGAGGAAGAAUAGAACCCGAAAGUUAAGCGUGCUCAGGCUGGAGUAGUGAGAGGAUGGGUGACCGUCUGGGAAGUUAGAUGAUUUGGAAUGAUGAGGGUGAUUAGAGAUUAGAGGUUAAAUUGAGCAGUGAUGAGGGGUGAUUAGAGAUUAGAGGUUAAAAUAAUUCAGAAAUUUGAAAAUAAAAAAAAUAAAAAAAUCAUAAAAUCAUAAAAUUUCCUUUAGUACAGGUUGGUGUUACCAACCGGGACUAAAGGUGGACCUCCAGGCAGCGGCCACGUGGAGGGCCUUUUUCUACUAGUGCACUGCAGUUUUUUUCUUGCCGGUCUCUAGUUGAAGAUUUUUCAAAUAUAUGGUUAAAGUUUUUGUGGCAACGAUUGCAGCUUUUUGCGUUUCGCUCUCACUGGUUGAAUCUUUCUAUAUCAUCGGUCGAAGCUUUUUUCUAGCCGAUUGAAACUUUUUUCAUCACCGGUUGCAGCUCCCGCGGUUGCAUGUUGGCCGGCCCUCGAUUUCUGUCAUCUCCUGUUGAAGCUUUCGACAACAUCGGUUGUAGCAUUAUCGAUCGUUGGUUGCAGCUUUUAGUGCUGCGCAGCGGCCGACUCAACUUUCAUCGUCUCUGGUCGUAGAUUUUCUCGUCGCCGGUCGUAGCUUUUCUCACCGCCGGUUGCAAUAUCAUCGUCUCUAGUCAUAACUUUUCUCGUCUCCAACGCCAGUAGCAUCGGCCACGGCGGAGCUUGGACGGGAGCAGGGGCGGUGGAGAAGGCGAGAGAAGGCGAGAGACGAAUUGGAGAGAGAAGGGAGGAGAUAAAGAUGGACCCGCAGGAGCACGUGUCGCCUGGGGGUUGGUUGUUUUUAACAUGCGACGAGGCGACCAGCCCCAGCGUUCCGCCGGCUCACUGUUCCCAAGAGUUUUCCUUUUCGUUUGCGACAGAUGCACUCAGUGUGAAAAACACACGAUACCUUUUUUCAUAAAUUAAUAUGUUUUCACGCUGUCAACUACUCCUUCCGCUCCUAAAUAUUUGUUUUUUUAGAAAUUUCAAAUGGACUAUCACAUAUGGAUGUAUAUAGACAUAUUUUAGAGUGUAGAUUCACUCAUUUUACUCUGUAUGUAGUUAUUUGUUGAAAUAUCUAGAAAGACAAAUAUUUAGGAACACAAGGAGUAUGGUAUAGUAAUUGUUUUCAUAAAUUCUAACAUGGUACAAGCUGUCAACUAUGUAACUUUUUUUUGGCCAAAAAAGAAUCCAAAUCCAUCUAUCAUAAAGAUUCAUAAGAGCUACUCUAGCAAAUGACUCAAAAGUCAUAUUUGAGGUAGAAAUUUUCAUGAAGCCUAUUAACAUGUUUUCAUGCUGUCAACUAUGGUAUAGAAAUUUUCAUGAGGGAAACCGGCACCGUCGUGGCUCGUGAUAGACCAGGUUAGAAUAUUCUAGCCUAGUACGCUAUAUUCUAGUUGAAAUAUGUACGAAAUGUAAAUAUUUUUGUUCGAUUUUCAUGAAGAUCAUCCGAUUUGCAUGUAGUUCUUCCGGUAUGUUCAACUUUUUUUUUGAAAUGUAUGCGGGCAUGGUUGGAUGGACAGCUCCCGCACCAAUGUCCACGGACAGGUCCUCUCCGGACCAUGGACGGAUGCAGUGUGCGAUUUGGGAUCAGCGUUGGAGAUGCCCUAAUCCUUUGUGCAGGAAGGUCCGUUUUCCAAAUAACACACGUGGAACUCUACCGGGAAACGCUAUGUAUCACGAGUCUGAUCCCACGCUCGCGUCAGACCACUCGGCAUCCGUUGGAUUUUGCAAAAAGAUCCAACGCCUUGCAGAUGGGCUAUAUAAUCCUACAAACCCCCAUGUUCUCGCACCCACGCCCUAGCUAGGGUAACCACCAUAGCCGCCACCCCUAAAGUUUCACGUACGCGAUGCUGAUGAGGAGCGGAGACGAGAAGAAUUUCAUUGGCGAGUACGUCGACAAGGAGCGCCGGCUAAUUUCGGAUGGAGCCGUUCGCCUUGAUCUGCCGAGGCGGUAAUUCUCGACGACGAUGUGAGGGGGAUGUGCCCACAAUCGUGAGGGGGAUGUUUGAUGGUUGAUCCAAUCCCAUGGCGAGCGGCCAUGUGAGAUCGAUCAACUCAUUGUUUCAAUCUGCUACACAGUGUCCCUCUCUCCAUAGCGCAUCCAACUACAGCCACCUAUUUGGAGUUGUACCCAUUCAUGCCGCCGUUCCAAUCUGGCUGCGCCGCCUACUGCUGUCGGAGCCACCCAUCUGAUUGCUUCUUGCCAUCGACACACCACCGUCCACCGAUUCCUCGAUGUAUCUCGCUGUGCACCUAUGAUUGGGGAUGUCAUGUUUCUUUGUCAGAGAUGCAACGCCUCAGUGUUCCGUGUAUUAAUUUCCUAGUCCCUAUGUAUGUGUUUCCUUUGGAUUUAAUAACACAUGUGUGCUUCAAUAUCAGCUGUGGCAUGUUUCCAAAUUAUGUAUAAUAUGUUUCCAUGCAUCUACGUGAUUGCUUCGUAUACAACCACGGGCAAUGCAUCUGUACUAAUUUUUUCAUGCUUCAACAGUUAUAAAACUAUGAUUCCAAUAGCAAACCAACAUGUAAAAUGCAUCAAUAUUACAUGUGACAUGUUUCAACCAUCAUAAAAUUAUGCUUCGAAAUGCAACCAUAAGCGCUUGAUCGCGGAAAUUAUGAAGCAUGAGUUGUAGUGCCGGAAGCAUGUUUAUUUUAUGAUGGAAACAAAUACAGGAUGAAAGAAGCACGUGAUUAUAGUCAUAUAUGGAAGCAACAUGAUAAAAGGAAAUUUGUGAAUACACUGAAGCAAAAAAAAAAUCCAUUCUUUAGAUAGAAGCAAAUUUCAGUCGGAAGCAGCAUCGGCAAAUACCAGAAAAUAAUAUGAUUCAUGACGUACGUUGGGAAAUCAUUGUGCCAAAAUAAUGAAUUUAUUUCCGUAAUAAAAUGUCUAAUAGUUAUUUUUUUUUAAAACGGAGGCAAAGAUUGCCUCAUCAAUUAAUUAAGCAGAAGAGAAUUACCCAAUUAAUUACGGAAAACCAGGUAAAAACCGGAACAAAAAGGGCCAAGCCCACUCCCAUAGACUGAAACACAUAGGGCAAAGCCCACCAUAAUCGACGACAAGUCGACCUGCAGCCAGACAACGCAGCUCCGACUCGACGGAGAACUCAGAAGAACAAACCAGACACGGCUGGCGCCACGGAAGAUCGCUGGACGGGCCACCUACAGCCAGUCAUCAUACACCACAGGGCCCCGCCGCCGCAGCUUCGACUCCACAGCAAUAAGCAAACCGAGGCAAAACCGUGGACACGCCGGAGAAGAGCCGACUACCGCAACCAUUGUCAUGUCGCCGAGAUCGCUCCCACCAUCAUCGUUGCCACAAAAGUCUGGUCGCCACAGUGAUUCUCUCGGGGCCGCCCCCCCCCGACAUCCACCGCUCCGUCGCGCCCAGCGCAAUCAACCGGCACAGCCUUCCAGGGCCGCCGCCCCGACAUACCACCGCUCCCCUCGAGCAGCAACGCCGCACAACCCAGCUGCCCGCAGCCCACGCUGCUCGGGGCAACCGCUCGCAGACCACGAACGUCGCACCACAUCCGAGGCCGCCGCCCCGACGUAAAGUCAGACCGCCUCCUCUGAGGCGCAUCGACCGAGCCGACAUCCCUACCGCCCAAGCGGAACAAGAAUGCCACCCAACCAAUGCCGAGCCAGAGCCCCACCUCAUAGAGCUGCCACUCGCAUUGUUCCGAGAUCGCCAUCUCGACGCACAAUCAGAAACCACCCGGGGCCGCCGCCCCGACGUCCACUGUCCCCGACGACUAAGAGAUCCGUGCAAAUUGCAAAAUGCUGACUCUCCAAGGCGAUGCCUCAAAGAAGGAUACGACGUAGCCGCCAUCAACGCCCGCUUCGACCACCGAAGCUAGGGAUUUCUCCCGGAGAGUCGUGAAAUGGAGCUCCACAGCAACGCCUUCAAGAAGGGGAGCGACACCAUGGCGCCACCGUUGCCGGCACCGACCCAAAGUCGGGGCUAGACUUUCGCCCGGAGCUCCAUCACACCUCCGUAUCUGAGCAGAUCCGAAGCACUGCACAGCACACCAUCCACAUGGUCGACGUCCACCGGCUCCACCUCGUGAUGCAGCAGCCGCCGCACCUCUCAAACGCGCGGACCCACCAGAUCCGCGGCCUCCCUGUCACCUCGGUGUGACCCACAGACGGCAGAUCCGCGCCGGCUGGGCCACCCCGCGCCGCCGCCGUGGCUCUGCACGACCCCCUUGCGCUACUGCCGCGCCUCAGCACGGCCCCUUGCGCCGCCGCCGUGCCGCUUGCUCAGCCCCGCCCGGGCCACAGAUCCACAGCGCACUGCACUGGGCGUCAGAUCCGCACCAGCAGAGCGACCGCGCCUGCAACACGCCUCGAAGCGCUGUCCCCUGCGCAUCCUCGCUGCGCGAGUGCGAGCACCGCGUCCGACCCGCGAGCGCCCGCUGGAGUGGCCGUCCCGCGCCGCCCCAUCCAGAGGAGAAGGAAAAAGACCCCGCCGCCGCCGCGCCGCGCGGGCUUUGCUCGGCAACGCCUGCCGGCGGCGGCGAGGGGAGGAGCGGCGGAGGGGUGUUACGCUCGCGGCGGCUAGGGUUAGCUCCAACUACUGCACAUGGACCAAACGACCCGACGAGGAGGACCCCGGCGCACACACGCACACAACAGAUGCAGCAAUGUCUAAUACUCCCUCCGUUCCUAAAUAUUUGUCUUUUUAGAGAUUUCAACAAAUGACUACAUACGGAAUAAAAUGAGUGAAUCUACACUCUAUACAUCCGUAUGGGGUAACCAUUUAAAACUUAAAGACAAAUAUUUAAGAACAGAGGGAGUACUAGUUAUUAGUUUCCAAAAAAUAGGCAAUUAUGAGUGAUUACAGGAAGCACUCCUACAUCAAGCCCCACGUACGGUGAUUGGUUCAAAUUUGGAAACUUCCACGUAAGGGCGGGCUGCAUGCAAGCAUGCCUUAUCCACCACUCAUACAGUUUGCAUCCAACGGCCUUUCACUAGUCUGAUAAGUAGCAAGUCAUCAGUAGUCUGAUGCUUAGUGAUUCCCAACUCUACCUUAUGAUCAAUGGUAAGUUCUCGUGCAAUAACCCCGCAAAAAAGGAGUUCUCGUGCAAUAAGAAUGACGUGCAAUCACACACUCGUGGAACUCAGACUCACACCAGUCAUCACAUAUACAUGCAUCUAAAAAACACAAAAAAUCAAGCAAAGCCAAGCCGGGGCUCAAUCCUUACCGAAACAGGAAGAAGCUGCCCGAGUCGAGCAGAGGGGAGUCAGGCGACGAUUACCCGAGAAGAGUCGGAGGCGGCACGCUUCGCCGGAGCUGAAACCAUCAAGCCCUGGGACGUGCUCGGCGGCGCGCGCGAGCCUGCGGCGGCCAGGGGGGUUACGUCGGUCAUGGUGGUGCGAGGAAGACGACCUCGACGACACGAACGCAGAAGCGGCAGGGAGGAAGAGAGCGCGACUCCCCGCCUUGAGGCGGGCAUGCGCCGGGAGCACGGAAGAGGCCCUGGCUACCGUCGUGUUCGACAUGGAAAAACUAUCACCCGAACCAGCAUAGAUUUUUCGAGCAUUGAUGCUUCUAUCUCCUCGUGCUACUAUAGGCAGCACGAUCGAGAUCGUACGCGCUUUAACGUGUACUGUAUAUUACUUGGUCAAUGCGUGCAGACAAGCAGCGAGGCAUUUCGUGCUGUGUUUUGGUUUGGACUGCAUGUCGGCACGUGAAUGUCAGUAGGUGGGUGGCCAUGCAUGCAUAUCGAUCGCGAUCGUGCCAAGCUGCGCAGAGGAAAACACCGCCGGGUUGGUACGUAGGGUACGUAUCUCCUUCCAUAUGGUACCACAUGGGUCCAUCUUCUCCUGAUCCCACCUUUACCAUGACUACCGGAGAUUAGCUAGCAGCGAUGCUGAAAUUUGUCCCGGCUCCGGUGUGGCCGGCGCUACCUGAGAGGACUACGGCCGCCUGAACCGUGGAUCUGUUGUACACAUCCUCACGUUUCUAAGAGCAUCUCCAACAGCCGCGCUAUAUAAGCGCCGCGCUAAAAAAUCAGUGUUUUUUGCGCGCGCUAUCGCUCCAGGCGCUCCAGCGGAGGCGCAAAAAUCACGCGUGCGGCAUAUCUAGUUUAGCGCGCGGGCCGAAAUGCCAUUGCGUGCCGCUUAUUUGCUGCGCCUGCUUGCUACCUCUUGAGCAUGCGUUGAUUUUCCCUUAAAGAGGAAAGGGUGAUGCAGCAAAGUAGCGUAAAUAUUUCCCUCAGUUUUUGAGAACCAAUGUAUCAAUCCAGUAGGAGGUUACACGCAAGUCGCCUCGUACCUACACAAACAAAUAAGAACCUUGCAACCAACGCGAUAAAGGGGUUGUCAAUCCCUUCAUGGCCACUCGUAAAAGUGAGAUCUGAUAGAGAUAAUAAGAUAAAUAUUUUUUCGAAAUCGAUAACUCCCGAACGCGCUGCGUUUUCGCAUCUCAGCCCGAACGCGCUCAACGUCGUUGGAUUGUUUGCACGAAUCAUAAAGCAACCACGGCGCCACGUCACACUUUGAGCCCGUUCGGAAAAACUCGCCUCGUCCCCGAACGCACGCACGGCCGCACCUCUCUUAUCCUUUUCUUCGUUCCCCACUCUCUCGCCAUUUCUUCAUCGCGCAUGGGACAGAUGAGCGAGAGAGAGAGCCCUUGCGUAGGCGGCGAGGCGGCCGGCGGCGAGCCAAUCGGCAGUUAUGCAGCCCGCGCCGUACCCGAAGCUGUGCGAUGUCAGGAGAGGAGGCGUGCGGCGGCGAGGCGAGGAGCGGGAAGAGGCGUGUGAAGCUGCUGUGAUUCGAAUCCUCGAUGGUGGUCGGCGGAGGCAGCAGUCGGCCAAGAUGCCGGUGCGCGGCGCCGUGUUGACGGUGGAGGAGGGAGCCUCGCGCGCGUGGUGAUUGCUGGUCACAGGGGCCGAGGUGCUAGGGUGGAGAUUCAUGGGCUCGUCGUCCCCGCCGCCGCCGCCGGCCCCGUCCUCACGCUCCAGCUGGAUCGACCGAUGGAGCUCUUCUGCGCCACCACCAGCCCCGCGGGCGCGCAACCCCGCCACAUCUAUGUGGCCGGACCGACGCUGCCUAUGCGACUAUGUCGAGGACGGACUCGUGUGUCAAGGCUGACGAGGAGGAGAACCACGCCGCCGCCCCGUGUUUGGUGCCUACCAAGGGAUCUCCGCCCGCCCCACGUCCUAGCGCGCCUCCGCCCCGCGUGGUCCUGGGCUCCACCAUCGCCUUGUGCAGAUGGGGAUCUGCCACGCGACGGCGCCGUCGGGGCAGGGGUAGCUUGAUUACAAGCUCGACGGUGACGCGCAUAUUUGGUCCUCGAGCUGACUACGGCAACAACGUAGUGAGUUUCAAUAGCUCCCACCAUUUCUUUGUUUGCAAAUUUUUGUAGAUGUCGCCAUUUAGCAUUGUGUAGUUAUUUGUGCAGUCACUUUUUUGCAGGUGAUGAGAUGCUAAUGGACUAGAUUUCCUUGGCAAUUCUAGGAAACUAUAGUUCAUGGACACCCCCAAAAUGUAUAGUUCAUGACAAUCAAAUUAUGUUCUUUUGCCAUUGAAGGUCCAAUUUUACAUUUGUUAAUAUGUCCCCCAUCGAAACUUAGUUGCCAUGCUUGUGUCUUUUCUUCAGGGUACAUUACAUAUAUAUCACAUUCUUUUUGCCAUGGCAACUUUUGAUUUUGGAUAUGUCCCCAUCGAAACUUUAGUUGCCAUGCUUGUGUCUUUUCUUUAGGGAAAAUUACAGAUUUAUUGCAUUCUUGCCAUGGCAACUUUUUAUUUUUGGAUAUGUCCCCAUCGAAACUUAAUUGCCAUGCUUUCUUACCAUGGCAACUAAUCUUAUACUUUUUGCCAUCUAAACUUUUAAAACUUUAGUUUAUUGAUCAUGGCAAAUUUAGUUCUCUGAUCAUGGCAAAUUCAUUGCUUCCUUGCCAUGGCAACUUUUGAUUAUAACACAAAAUGGCAAAUAUUGCCAUGACAAGUUUUACUAAUUAUUUCACCUUUAUUAACAUGACGAAUUUACCUAAAUUCCCAUGGCAAUUUUUUAACUUUUAUUGCCAUGGCAAGUUUACUAUUUAUUUGACUUUUAUUAACAUGACAAAUUUACCUAAUUCCCCAUGGCAAUAUCAAACAUUUAUUGCCAUGGCAAGUUUUACUAUUUAUUUUCCAUGGCUAAUAUACCUUCAUUUUCAUGGCAAAUUUAUCUAAAUCCCCAUGGGAAUAUUUAACUUUUAUUGCCAUGGCAAGUUUUACUUGUUACUUUUGCCAUGGUUAAUUUAUCUUUAUUAACAUGGCAAAUUUACCUAAAUUCCCAUGGCAAUUUUUAACUUUUAUUGCCAUGGCAAGAUUUACUAUUCAUUUGAUCUUUAUUAACAUGGCAAAAUUUACUUUCAUUUUUGCAUGCCAAUUAUUAAUUUUUCUACACCAUGGCAAAAUUAACGUUUUAUUGCCAUGGCAAAUUUUCCUUUUAUUUCCCAUGAUUUUUUAUUUAAUUUCCAUGGCAAUUUUAAUUUUUGUCACUCAUGGCAAACAUACUUCUAUGCAGCAUGGCAAGUUUUACUUUUAUUUUGCCAUGGCAAAAAUACAUAGAAAACACGACAAUUAUUACUAAACAAUAGAUUGUGCAUUUUUUGUUUUGUGCUUCGGCAAAUUUAUAUAGUAAAAGUAGCAUACAAAUUUUUAAUCCAUAUUUUUUUGCCAUCAUGGUACAUAUGCAAACUGCCAUGAUUUUUUUUUGAGCCAUUGCAUAAAAAAAUAUUUUCUUGCCAUCAUGGUACAGAUGCAAAAUUGUUUAUAAAGUGAUGGCAAUUUUUGGUUUGAAACCAUUGGGAUUAUUUUAGUAGUAUCUUGUUUUCGAUUUUCUAUCUAUAAUGACAUUUUUCGGACUUUUCCUGUGAUGGCAAGUUCAUAUGCAUCCACACUGCACAUUUUGCCAUGUUUUUGAUUGGUAAACAACAAAAAUUGCCAUGGCAAAUUCAUACAUUUUGACAUCUUUGCAGAGAAGUUCUUUCUGGUUCAUUCAUAUUAUAGGGGUAGAGAUCUCAUGGUUCAUUCAUAAAUUUUUAUUUUUGCAGCAUUUUGUGACUUUUUUUCAUUGCAUGGCAAAAUUGCCUUCAUUAGUCACAUCCAAUAGUGGGCUUUUUUGGUCACAGUAAAAAUCGGCACAAUCUGGGCUUCUUCUUUUUUCCACAACAAAAAGGCCUCUAGGCUCCCGAGGUAGGGUGUUCGGGCUGGGCGACUUUGGUCCGAUCGAUGCCUCCAUAUGGCCGAACGAAUCAUUCGAUCUGGGGCUCUCCGAGACCGAACGUUCGGCAGUUAUCGGGGUCCUAUUAUUUAUAUUUUUAUGAUAUAGAUUGGAAAGUAAAGAUUACAAAAUAAAAGACGGAAAAAUAGUAAAUUGAUAGGAAAAUAAUAUGAUGGAAGAUAGACCCGGGGGCCAUAUGUUUCACUAGUGCCUUCUCUCAAGAUAGCAUGAUCUACGGUGGGUGAACAAAUUACUGUCGAGCAAUUGAUAGAAAAGUGCAUAGUUAUGAGAAUAUUUAGGCAUGAUCAUGUAUAUAGGCAUCACGUCCGUGACAAGUAGACCGAAACGAUUCUGCAUCUACUACUAUUACUCCACACAUCGACCCCUAUCCAGCAUGCAUCUACAGUAUUAAGUUCAUAAGAACAGAGUAACGCAUUAGGCAAGAUGACAUGAUGUAGAGGGAUAAACUGAAACAAUAUGAUAUAAACCCCAUCUUUUUAUCCUCGAUGGCAACAAUACAGUACGUGCCUUGCUGCCCCUGCUGUCACUGGGAAAGGACACCGCAAGUUUUAACCCAAAGCUAAGCACUUCUCCCAUUGCAAGAAAGAUCAAUCUAGUAGGCCAAACCAAACUGAUAAUUCGAAGAGAGUUGCAAAGAUAUUUAAAUCAUACAUAUAAGAAUUCAGAGAAGAACCAAAUAUUGUUCAUAGAUAAUCUUGAUCAUAAACCCACAAUUCAUCGGAUCUCAACAAACACACCGCAAAGAGAAUUACAUCGAAUAGAUCUCCAAGAAGAUCGAGGAGAAUUUUGUAUUGAGAUCCAAAGAGAGAGAAGAAGCCAUCUAGCUAAUAACUAUGGACCCAAAGGUCUGUGGUAAACUACUCACACGUCAUCGGAGAGGCUAUGGUGUUGAUGUAGAAGUCCUCCGUGAUCGAUUCCCCCUCCGGUGGAGCGCCGGAAAAGGCCCCAAGAUGGGAUCUCACGGGUACAGAAGGUUGUGACGAUGGAAAUAAGGUUUCGUGGUGCUCUCAGAUGUUUUCAGGGUAUAUGAGUAUAUAUAGGCGAAAGAAGUAGGUCGGUGGAGCCACGAGGAGCCCACGAGGGCGGGGGGCGUGCCUCCCUGCCUCGUGGCUUCCUCGUUGCUUCCUUGACGUCCACUCCAAGUCUCCUGGAUUGCGUUCGUUCCAAAAAUAACUCUCCCGAAGGUUUCAUUCCGUUUGUAUUCCGUUUGAUAUUCCUUUCCCGCGAAACACUGAAAUAGGCAAAAAAACAGCAAUUUGCACUGGGCUUUCGGUUAAUAGGUUAGUCCCAAAAAUAAUAUAGAAGUGCAUAGUAAAGCCCAUUAAACAUCCAAAACAGAUAAUAUAAUAGCAUGGAACAAUAAAAAAUUAUAGAUACGUUGGACGUAUCAAGCAUCCCCAAGCUUAAUUCCCGCUCGUCCUCGAGUAGGUAAAUGAUAAAAACAGAAUUUUUGAUGUGGAAUGCUACCUAACAUAAUUUUCUAAGCAAUUCUCUUUAUUGUGGCAUGAAUGUUCAGAUCCGAAAGAUUCAAGAUAAAAGUUUAAUAUUGACAUAAAAAUAAUAAUACUUCAAGCAUACUAACUAAGAAAUUAUGUCUUCUCAAAAUAACAUGGCCAAAGAAAGCUUAUCCCUACAAAAUCAUAUAGUUUGGCUAUGCUUCAUUUUCGUCACACAAGAAUGCUGUCAUCAUGCACAACCCCGAUGACAAGCCAAUCAAUUGUUUCAUACUUUAGUAAUCUCAAACUUUUUUCAUCUUUCACGCAAUACAUGAGCGUGAGCCAUGGACAUAGUAGUAUGGGUGGAAUAGAAUAUAAUGAUGGGGUUGUGAGGAGAAGACAAAAAAGGAGAAAGUCUCACAUUGACGCGGCUAAUCAACGGGCUAGGGAGAUGCCCAUCAAUUGAUGCCAAUGCAAGGAGUAGGGAUUGCCAUGCAACGGAUGCACUAGAGCUAUAAAUGUAUGAAAGCUCAACAAAAAAACUAAGUGGGAGUGCAUCCAACUUGCUUGCUCACGAAGACCUAGGGCAUUUGAGGAAGCCCAUUGUUGGAAUAUACAAGCCAAGUUCUAUAAUGAAAAAUUCCCACUAGUAUAUGAAAGUGACAAAACAAGAAACUCUCUAUCAUAAAGAUCAUGGUGCUACUUUGAAGCACAAGUGUGGAAAAAAGGAUAGUAGCAUUGUCCCUUUUUAUUUCUUUUCUUUUUUUGGCCUUUUUUGGCCUUACUCUGUUUUUUUCUCCUUUUUAUUUAUUUAUUUUUAUUUGGGAUAAUGCUCUAUUAAUGAUGCUCAUCACACUUCUAUUUAUUUACAACUCAAUGAUUACAACUCGAUACUAAAACAAAAUAUGACUCUCUAUGAACGCCUCCAGCGGUGUACCGGGAUGGGCAAUGAAUCAAGAGUGACAUGUAUGAAAAAUUAUGCAUGGUGGCUUUGCCACAUAUACGAUGUCAACUACAUGAUCAUGCAAAGCAAUAUGACAAUGAUGAAGCGUGUCAUAAUAAAUGAAACGGUGGAAAGUUGCAUGGCAAUAUAUCUUGGAAUGGCUAUGGAAAUGCCAUAAUAGGUAGGUAUGGUGGCUGUUUUGAGGAAGAUAUAAGGAGGUUUAUGUGUGAUAGAGCGUAUCGUAUCAUGGGGUUUGGAUGCACCGGUGAAGUUUGCACCAACUCUCAAGGUGAGAAAGGGCAAUGCACGGUACCGAAGAGGCUAACAAUGAUGGAAAGGUGAAAGUGCGUAUAAUCCAUGGACUCAACAUUAGUCAUAAAUAACUCACAUACUUAUUGCAAAAAUCUACAAGUCAUCAAAAACCAAGCAUUAUGCGCAUGCUCCUAGGGGGAUUGAUAACCCACAAGUAUAGGGGAUCGCAACAGUUUUCGAGGGUAGAGUAUUCAACCCAAAUUUAUUGAUUCGACACAAGGGGAGCCAAAGAAUAUUCUCAAGUAUUAGCAGUUGAGUUGUCAAUUCAACCACACCUGGAUAACUUAGUAUCUGCAGCAAAGUGUUUAGUAGCAAAGUAGUAUGAUAGUAACGGUAACGGUAACGGUAACAAAAGUAAUAUUUUUGGGUUUUGUAGUGAUUGUAACAGUAGCAACGAAAAAGUAAAUAAGCGGAGAACAGUAUAUGAAAAGCUCGUAGGCAUUGGUCGGUGAUGGAGAAUUAUGCCGGAUGUAGUUCAUCAUGUAACAGUCAUAACAUAGGGUGACACAGAACUAGCUCCAAUUCAUCAAUGUAAUGUAGGCAUGUAUUCCGAAUAUAGUCAUACGUGCUUAUGGAAAAGAAGUUGCAUGACAUCUUUUGUCCUACCCUCCCGUGGCAGCGGGGUCCUAAUGGAAACUAAGGGAUAUUAAGGCCUCCUUUUAAUAGAGUACCGGACCAAAGCAUUAACACAUAGUGAAUACAUGAACUCCUCAAACUAUGGUCAUCACCGGGAGUGGUCCCGAUUAUUGUCACUUCGGGGUUGCCGGAUCAUAACACAUAGUAGGUGACUAUAGACUUGCAAGAUAGGAUCAAGAACUCACAUAUAUUCAUGAAAACAUAAUAGGUUCAGAUCUGAAAUCAUGGCACUCGGGCCCUAGUGACAAGCAUUAAGCAUAGCAAAGUCAUAGCAACAUCAAUCUCAGAACAUAGUGGAUACUAGGGAUCAAACCCUAACAAACUAACUCGAUUACAUGAUAGAUCUCAUCCAACCCAUCACCGUCCAACAAGCCUACGAUGGAAUUACUCAAGCACGGCGCUGAGCAUCAUGAAAUUGGUGAUGGAGGAUGGUUGAUGAUAAUGACAGCAACGAAUCCCCCUCUCCGGAGCCCUGAACGGACUCCAGAUCAGCCCUCCCGAGAGGUUUUAGGGCUUGGCGGCGGCUCCGUAUCGUAAAACGCGAUGAAUCCUUCUCUUUGAUUUUUUUCUCCCCGAAAGUGAAUAUAUGGAGUUGGAGUUGAGGUCGGUGGAGCGUCAGGGGGCCCACGAGGCAGGGGCGCGCCCAGGGGGCAGGCGCGCCCCCACCCUCGUGGACAGGGUGUGGGCCCCCUGACAUGGAUUUUUCUUCUAGUAUUUUUAAUAUUUUCCAAAAAUAUGUUCCGUGGAGUUUCAGGUCAUUCCGAGAACUUUUGUUUCUGCACAUAAAUAACACCAUGGAAAGUCUGCUGAAAACAGCGUCAGUCCGGGUUAGUUCCAUUCAAAUCAUGCAAGUUAGAGUCCAAAACAAGGGCAAAAGUGUUUGGAAAAGUAGAUACGACGGAGACGUAUCAACUCCCCCAAGCUUAGACCUUUGCUUGUCCUCAAGCAAUUCAGUUGAUAAACUGAAAGUGAUAAAGAAAAACUUUUACAAACUCUGUUUGCUCUUGUUGUUGUAAAUAUGUAAAGCCAGCAUUCAAGUUUUCAGCAAAGAUUAUAAUCCACCAUGGUAGAUAGUAUGUCCUCUUGAGAAUAACCCCCCUAGCAUGGAAGAUACGGACAUCCCUAGUUGAUACAUGAGCUAUUCGAGCAUACAAAACAGAAUUUCAUUUGAAGGUUUAUAGUUUGGCACAUACAAAUUUACUUGGAACGGCAGGUAGAUACCGCAUAUAGGAAGGUAUAGUGGACUCAUAUGGAAUAACUUUGGGGUUCAAGGGAUUGGAUGCACAAGCAGUAUUCCCGCUUAGUACAAGUGAAGGCUAGCAAAAGACUGGGAAGCGACCAACUAGAGAGCAACAACAUUCAUAAACAUGCAUUAAAAUUAAUAAACAUUGAGUGCAAGCAUGACUAGGAUAUAAUCCACCAUGAACAUAAAUAUCGUGAAGGCUAUGUUGAUUUGUUUCAACUACAUGUGUGAACAUGUGCCAAGUCGAGUCACUUAAAUCAUUCAAAGGAGGAUACCACCCCAGUAUACCACAUCACAACCAUUUUAAUAGCAUGUUGGCACACAAGGUAAACCAUUAUAACUCAUAGCUAAUCAAGCAUGGCAUAAGCAACUAUGAUCUUUAAUUGUCAUUGCAAACAUGUUUAUUCAUGACAGGCUGAAUCAGGAACGAUGAACUAAUCAUAUUUACAAAAACAAGAGAGGUCGAGUUCAUACAAGCUUUUCUCAUCUCAAUCAGUCAAUCAUACAUCGUCAUAAUUGCCUUUCACUUGCACGACCGAACGAUGUGAAAAUAAUAAGAGUGCACGUGCAUUGGACUAAGCUAGAAUCUGCGAGCAUUCAAUAAACCGGAGAAGACAAGGCAAUAUGGGCACUUGGUUAAAUCAACAAUAAUGCAUAUGAGAGCCACUUCAACAAUUUAAUUAUGGUCUUCUCCUAUCGACCCCCAAAGAAAAGAAAAGAAAUAAAACUAUUUACACGGGAAAGCUCCCAACAAGCAAAAGAAGGACGGGAAAUAUUUUUGGGUUUCUUUUUAAUUAUUACUACUACAGCGAGAAAAGCAAACUAGAUAAAGGCUACACUAAUUUUUUGGUUUUUCUUAAGGUUUAUCAAACACACAAGAAGAAAGCAAGAAAAAGAAAAUAAACUAGCAUGGAUAUUACAGUGAAAAAGUAUGAGCACGAAUGUAAUGUCGGUGAGAAAUACGUACUCCCCCAAGCUUAGGAUUUUGGCCUAAGUUGGUUUAUUGCCAUGGGUGGCCUGGCGGAUAUCCAUAGUUGUAGCCGGGGUCGUACUGAGAUGAAGAAGACUCUGACUGCCACUGGUUGGCAAUCAUCUCCGGAUCCCACUGGUAGUUAGACUGUCGUGGAGGUUCAAAUUGUGGUUCCGGCUCCGUGACUGAUGUAGGGUUCCGGUAGGCGUGAAUGGCCGCCAGCGGAAUGAGAUACAUAAUGUUUGCGUUGGUCGCGGAGGAAGUCGGUGAGGCCUGCAUUCUCAGCCAAUUCAUAAAAAUCAUCAUAAAUCUCGGCUUCUCUCAAGAAAUCAUCGGAAGGCCAUUCACACGGCCGAACCUCCGUGGUGCGAGGCAGAUUAUAUUUGGGCCUCUGUGCUUCUUCACUUUGCUUUUCCUUCGAGCUUCGGCUCGAUGAGCCCCUCAAAAAUCUCUUCAUUAUUUUCUGAAAAAUUCUGAAUUUUUUAGUAACUUCAAACAAAAGUGAACCAAGCUCAAUAAAAUUGAUAGCAACUACUCCUACAAGUGCCUAGAGACUAUAUCAUGCAUCAGAACUACUUGGAACCAUAUAAAUUUGACAUGCAAGCUCAAGAACAUGGUCACCUAGGUAGCACAAAUUUGCAAUGAAUAAAGCACUAGAACAAAAACUAAUUGGACCAAUGGAGGAGUCACAUACCAAGGAACAAUCUCCCCAAGCAGUUUUGUGAGAGGUGCUUUGAGCAAGGAGAUCGAAAAUCGCAGCAAAAUGAGCUAGAACUCGUGCUUGAGCUGGAUGGUGAUUUUUUUUGGGAGGAAGAAGAAGUGUGUGGGUGCAGGAAUAACUGGAGGGGAGCCACCGUGGGCCCACGAGGUAGGGGCGCGCCCUGGACCCUCGUGGCCAGGUGCUUGCUCCCCCUGUUGUGUUCUCAGUGCCAGAUAUUCUCAAAUAUUCCAGAAAAAAUCAUAUUCCAUUUUCAGGGCAUUUGGAGAACUUUUAUUUUCAGGGUAUUUUUAUAUUGCACGGAUAAAUCAGAAAACAGACAGAAAAAAAAUACUAUUUUUACUUUAUUUCAACUAAAUAACAGAAAGUAAAAGGAGGGUACAGAAGGUUGUGCCUUCUAGUUUCAUCCAUCUCAUGCUCAUCAAAAGGAAUCCACUAACAAUGUUGAUCAAGUCUUGUUAACAAACUCAUUCCGAAUAACAUGGAACCGGAGAAAUUUCGAAUAACACUAUGUUACCUCAACGGGGAUAUGCACAUCCCCAACAAUAAGAAUAUCGUAUUUCUUCUUGACAGUAGGAAGAGGAAAUUCAAAACCUCCAAAAAUAAUCGAUGGAAUUUUUCCAAUAGAAUUGAUACCGUGGACUUGAGGUUGUUUCCUCGGAAAGUGUACCGUAUGCUCAUUACCAUUAACAUGAAAAGUGACAUUGCCUUUGUUGCAAUCAAUAACAGCCCCUGCAGUGUUCAAAAAAGGUCUUCCAAGAAUAAUAGACAUACUAUCGUCCUCGGGAAUAUCAAGAAUAACAAAGUCCGUUAAAAUAGUAACAUUUGCAACCACAACAGGCACAUCCUCACAAAUACCGACAGGGAUAUCAGUUGAUUUAUCAGCCAUUUGCAAAGAUAUUUCAGUAGGUGUCAACUUAUUCAAAUCAAGUCUACGAUAUAAAGAGAGAGGCAUAACACUAACACCGGCUCCAAGGUCACAUAAAGCAGUUUUAACAUAGUUUCUUUUAAUGGAGCAUGGUAUAGUUGGUACUCCUGGAUCUCCAAGUUUCUUAGGUAUUCCACCCUUAAAAGUAUAAUUAGCAAGCAUGGUGGAAAUUUCAGCUUCCGGUAUCUUUCUUUUAUUUGUGACAAUUUCUUUCAUAUACUUAGCAUAAGGAUUCAUUUUGAGCAUAUCAGUUAAUCGCAUAUGCAAAAAGAUAGGUCUAAUCAUUUCAGCAAAAUGCUCAAAAUCCUCAUCAUCCUUUUUCUUGGACGGUUUAGGAGGAAAAGGCAUGGGUUUCUGAACCCAAGGUUCUCUUUCUUUACCAUGUUUCCUAGCAACAAAGACUCUCUUCUCAUAAUGUUGAUUCUUUGAUUGUGGGUUAUCAAGAUCAACAGCAGGUUCAAUUUCCACAUCAUUAUCGUUGCUAGGUUGAGCAUCAUCAUGAACAUCAUCAUUAGCAUUUUCAUUAGGUUCAUGUUCAUUACCAGAUUGUGUUUCAGCAUCAGAAAUAGAGAUAUCAUUUGGAUUCUCAGGUGGUUCAGCAAUAGGUUCACUAGAAGCAUGCAAAGUCCUAUCAUUUUUCUUUUUCUUCCUUUUAGAAGGACUAGGUGCAUCAAUAUUGUUUCUCUGAGAAUCUUGUUCAAUUCUCUUAGGGUGGCCUUCAGGAUACAAAGGUUCCUGAGUCAUUUUACCGGUUCUAGUAGCCACUCUAACAGCAUAAUCAUUAUUCUUACUGUUUAAUUCAUUGAUCAAAUCAUUUUGAGCCUUAAGUACUUGUUCUACUUGAGUGGUAACCAUAGAAGCAUGUUUAGUAAUGAGUUUAAGUUCACCUUUAACUCUAGACAUAUAAUCACCCAAAUAUUCAAGCGUAUCAGAAUUGUAUUUCAAUUGUCUACCAAAAUAAGCAUUGAAGUUUUCUUGUUUGACAAUAAAAUUAUCAAACUCUUCUAAGCAUUGUCUAGCAGACUUAUAGUGAGGAAUAUCACCUUCAUCAAAUCUAUAGAGAGAAUUUACCUUUACUACCUGUGUCGGGUUAUCAAGACCAUGUGUUUCUUCAACAGGCGGUAAAUUAAGACCAUCUAUUUCUUCAAUAGGAGGUAAAUUCUUAACACCUUCAGCUUUAAUACCUUUUUCUUUCAUAGAUUUCUUUGCCUCUUGCAUAUCUUCAGGACUGAGAAAUAGAACACCUCUCUUCUUCGGAGUUGGUUUAGGAAUAGUCUCAGGAAUUGGCUCAGGAGCUGGCUCAGGAAGUUUGCAAUUAUUUUCAUUUGUUAACACACUACAGGAAACAGCUAUUUUGCCGUCUGCCACGGCGGACGGCAAAGGCUCGAACGGCGGACGGCAAAGACCUUUUCCGUCAGCCGCGGACGGCAAAAGGCUCCGGCAAAGUAGGCUACGGUAAACAUGUCCUUUGCCGUCUGCUUUUUAUGGCGGACGGCAAAGAUUCCUUUGCCUACAGCGGCGGACGGCAAAGAGGAGGGACGGCAAAAAUACUGGACGUCCGCCAGCGUUAGUCCGUUAUGCGGCUAACGGCGGCCUUUGCCGUCCGCCAGCGGAUGGCAAAUUUGAGCGCCUCUUUGCCGUCCGCCAGUUGACGUCAGCAAUGCGUCAGCGCCCGCUGUUUUUUGCCGUCCGCCACGGCGGACGGCAAAGGCAAAGUCUUUGCCAUCAGCUUAGCUUUGCCGUCCGCCAUCGUAGGCAAAUUUGCCAAAUGGCCCAUCUCUCAGGAAGCACAGGUGGGCGCCACGUGCCCCCUUUGCCGUCUGCCACCGAUGGCAAAGGUGUCUUUGCCGUCCGCGGCGGACGGCAAAGAGCCUGCACUGCCUCUUUUUAUUCUAUUUUUCUUAUAUCCAACAAUUAUCACAGGAAAUAUAUCACAGCAAAUAUAUCACAGGAGCCAGCACAUAUAUAUCCAACAUAAUAAAUAUGCAGCACAUAUAUAUCCAUACAUACAUAGUAGGUUGCACAUAGUUCCAUCGAUCCAUACAUAUUACAAUAUGCAAAGUUUCAUCAUAGAAAUCUAGUUUCAUCAUAGCAAGCGAGCAGAAUACAAGAAGUGCAUCAAAGGAAAAAACAAGCAAUCCAUCAUAGAAAGCUGGCUUCCGUGAAGUGAACGAAACCUGCAAAAUGACAAAUAAGAAAGUUAGAAAAAGAAGAUUAGAAGAAGAAUUAGACUAGAAGAAAAAGAAUAGAAGAAGAAGAAGAAGACUAGAAGAAGAAGUAUAUGCCAUUUAUUAGCUAACUUAGGUGAACUGGAUCAUUUAUGAGCUAAAUUAGUUGAAAUGGAUCGUUUAUGAGCUAACUUAGGUGAAAUGGAUUGUUUAUUAGCUAACCUAGGUGAAAUGGAUCGUUUAUGAGCUAUCUUAGGUGAAAUGGAUCGUUUAUGAGCUAAGUUAGGUGAAAUGGAUCGUUUAUGAGCUAACCUAGGUGAAAUGGAUCGUUUAUGAGCUAACCUAGGUGAAAUGGGUCGUUUAUGAGCUAACCUAGGUGAAAUGGGUCGUUUAUGAGUUAACCUAGGUGAAAUGGGUCGUUUAUGAGCUAAUUAUGCAAUUUUUGACAUAAGUUAGCUAAGUACAUAUCGUUUUAGAGCUAACUUNNNNNNNNNNUUUAUGAGCUAAGUUAGGUGAAAUGGAUCGUUUAUGAGCUAACCUAGGUGAAAUGGAUCGUUUAUGAGCUAACCUAGGUGAAAUGGGUCGUUUAUGAGCUAACCUAGGUGAAAUAGGUCGUUUAUGAGCUAACCUAGGUGAAAUGGGUCGUUUAUGAGCUAACCUAGGUGAAAUGGGUCGUUUAUGAGUUAACCUAGGUGAAAUGGGUCGUUUAUGAGUUAACCUAGGUGAAAUGGGUCGUUUAUGAGCUAAUUAUGCAAUUUUUGACAUAAGUUAGCUAAGUACAUAUCGUUUUAGAGCUAACUUAGGUAAAAUGGAUGGUUUAUGAGGUCAGUAAGCUUAUUAAGUCAUUUUGGAGGAAAAGAAGCUAACUCUAGGUCAUUAUGGUAAGCAUAUUGGAGGAAAUAAAGCUAAUUAGUCUAGGUCUUUAUGCAUUUGUUAAGCAAAACACUAGAGAAGCUUACCGUGAUCAGGGAGGUGUAGGAGCGGGGUGGCUAGUGCCGCUACCUGGAGAAGGAUCGUGCGAUGCGUUUCUGGAGUUAAGCUGCACCAAAGAUCAUUUCCAAUGUCUCGUUAGCACUAUGACACUCAAAUGUUAAGACUAGCAAGUAAUGUCCAUUCAAAUUAAACUCACCGUGCUCCCAGGAGCAAUCACUGGCAUCGGCGGAGCGGGCUGACCGGACUUCUCGCACACAGACUGCACAUUUGGUUUUCACAACAGAGUCAUACUAGUUAGUAAUGAGACUCAAAUGUUAAGACUAGCAAGUAAUCUGCAGAAGAAACUUACCACAAGGAGCUCGUACAUGGCCCUUGCCUGCAUGUCAUUCCGUGCCCUCUCCUCCUCCAUCAUCUUUCUCGUCCUCUCCUCCAUCUCCCGCUGCCUCUCCGCCGCCUCCGCCAGAAGUUUCUCCGUUCUAUCUCUCUCAGUCUGUAUAGCAGCCUGCAACACCACUCACAUGACCAUUUGUAAUCAUUGAUGGAAGCGCACACAAUGUAAUGGAGACAGAUAACUGAGUACGUAUCACUAACCUUGAUGGCGAGUUGCACUGGCCGUUCACGAGGCCUUAUCUCAGGAGCGGAGCUCGACUGGCGCGCCUUGAUCUCCGGAGAGUGCUAGGACAACGGAUAAGUCCAUCUCCAAUGGCUAUGGAGCCAUGGGACCUCCCGCCACCAGAUAUCAUCACCAGCUCUGGAUCAAUGGGACCCUGGCUCGGGUUAAAGUCCUCCCCUUUCCUCGCCUUCCCCUCAUCUCUAUAUCUCACGAGCUUGUUGUGGGAGGAGAUGUUGGUGAAGUUGUUUGCAUCAUCGAGGUCAGACUGAGAGAAAGCCUUGACUUUCUUGUAAGAGCCAGUGUGGGCCAUGGCAUACAGGUCGUACACCUCUGGCACCUUAUCCGCCUUAUUGUGGCGUGCCUGAAAGAGAGAAGCAAUGAAAGUUAGUAAUUAAAGGGCUCAAGCUAGCAUGAUGAAUGAAUUGCAUGAAUCAUGAAGCAAACCACAUACCCAGUUGCGCCCGAACUGAUAUAAGUUGGAGCUGCCUUGAUGGUGUGGCACACCUUCCAUUUGGGCACGUUUGUCCUUGGCCUGGUUGUGGAGGGCUAGCCAUUCUUGUGAGCACCACUCAUCGACCAACACUUCCCAACAAUCCAUCCGAUCCGCACACCAUCUCGGAGGCGCCUAAGUUAGCAAAUAGAAACUUGAGCGCUACGGCUAAGAAUUACUAAAUGAAGGAACUUAAGUAGAAGGCCUUAAGAAUUACCUUCAUGUACUGCUCCUUACUCAGGAACUUAUCGCGGCACGCCGGCUUGGUCUUCUUGAUACCACGCAAGGCGUAGUAGUCUCGAACAGCCUGCACCCGAGCCUCGUGCCGUAAGUUCUGGAGUAGGCGCUUGCAGACGUUCUGGAUAACAUUUGCCGCGUCCUCCUCGUAUCCCUCCUCACACCUGUAGAAUGUCUGCAAUCAAAUGAGACAAUAUUGAUUAGUACAAUUAAUAACUAGCUAGUUGAAGAUUUUGAAAUGUGUAAAGGAGAAAUUACCCAGAACGUCCUGAUCACCAUGUCUGCCCUCGUGUCGCACACGACACCGUCGAUAAUGACAUCCGGCGGGCCGGGGCAGCCACGUAGUGCUCCCAGCUCAACCCAAGCUCUGGAAGCCGACCCUCACCAGGCAACGUGACAAACCCCGGGAAGUUUUGCCGGCAAAGAACUCCAAGGACGGAGUUGGGCCGGCGGACACUAUGAUGGUGGUCCCAACCCCUGCAGCAUGACAAGGCCAACGCAUUAGUUAUUUGAAGAAACGUGAAUGCAGAAGGUACAAAAAUAUUAAAUGCACUUACGGACCUCUCCCCAUCAGGGAAAAUCAACCACCUCUGCUCGCGGGUCGCCGGCACGGACGGGAGCCGUGUAGCACCACGCUGGUAGACGGUGCCACCCUCCUCCUCAAGAUCAGUCGGCUCCCCGCCAUCAUCAGCAUGGCCACUCGGCUCCUCGGGCUGAUCCGGCCAGGUACCCCAUCCGGACGUGUGCUCCUCCAGGGUCUCGUGGGCCGAAGGCCAGUCGACCCGAGGCUCGUGGGCCCAAGACCCGUGGACCGGAGGCUCGUGGACCGGAGUCCGUGUAGCCUCCUCCUCGGACGAGUCCACCCUAGCAGUCACGUGCUCGGGUGAAACAGCUGGGGGUGGCGGCGAGGAAGGCGCCGUAGCAGUCACCCUACCUCCUCUCCCGCGACCACGUGCCCCACCUCCUCUCUUCCUACCUCGUCCCCUGCUGGGCACCGCGGUCGACGAAGAAGGGCCCAGCGGUGUGGACAUACUGUCCAGCAACGCUCGGCGGAGAGGUGCGUCUGGAAUCGAAGACCUCAGACCACGCGCCGACGAAGAAGGGGCCUUGGCGCGCUCCCGACCAGCGCCCACCAUCUUUCAACACCUGCCAUGACAAACAGUAAACGAAAUUAGUACAACAUAAAAAAAAGACCGACAUGAAUAAUAAUAUGUGUAUCACUUAAGUGUAUCAUCAUCAAGUACAACAUUAAAAAAUUUAAUACCUGACACUACUAAUAAUCUCGAUCAGUAUCAUCAAUAAAUGCAUAAUCAUCAUCAUCACUAUAAUCAAUGACGGGCUCAUAGGGUUCAGUGGCAUCAACAUGUGGAAGGCCACCUUGACGUAAUCGGUCAAGCAAUGANNNNNNNNNNNNNNNNNNNNNNNNNNNNNNNNNNNNNNNNNNNNNNNNNNNNNNNNNNNNNNNNNNNNNNNNNNNNNNNNNNNNNNNNNNNNNNNNNNNNNNNNNNNNNNNNNNNNNNNNNNNNNNNNNNNNNNNNNNNNNNNNNNNNNNNNNNNNNNNNNNNNNNNNNNNNNNNNNNNNNNNNNNNNNNNNNNNNNNNNNNNNNNNNNNNNNNNNNNNNNNNNNNNNNNNNNNNNNNNNNNNNNNNNNNNNNNNNNNNNNNNNNNNNNNNNNNNNNNNNNNNNNNNNNNNNNNNNNNNNNNNNNNNNNNNNNNNNNNNNNNNNNNNNNNNNNNNNNNNNNNNNNNNNNNNNNNNNNNNNNNNNNNNNNNNNNNNNNNNNNNNNNNNNNNNNNNNNNNNNNNNNNNNNNNNNNNNNNNNNNNNNNNNNNNNNNNNNNNNNNNNNNNNNNNNNNNNNNNNNNNNNNNNNNNNNNNNNNNNNNNNNNNNNNNNNNNNNNNNNNNNNNNNNNNNNNNNNNNNNNNNNNNNNNNNNNNNNNNNNNNNNNNNNNNNNNNNNNNNNNNNNNNNNNNNNNNNNNNNNNNNNNNNNNNNNNNNNNNNNNNNNNNNNNNNNNNNNNNNNNNNNNNNNNNNNNNNNNNNNNNNNNNNNNNNNNNNNNNNNNNNNNNNNNNNNNNNNNNNNNNNNNNNNNNNNNNNNNNNNNNNNNNNNNNNNNNNNNNNNNNNNNNNNNNNNNNNNNNNNNNNNNNNNNNNNNNNNNNNNNNNNNNNNNNNNNNNNNNNNNNNNNNNNNNNNNNNNNNNNNNNNNNNNNNNNNNNNNNNNNNNNNNNNNNNNNNNNNNNNNNNNNNNNNNNNNNNNNNNNNNNNNNNNNNNNNNNNNNNNNNNNNNNNNNNNNNNNNNNNNNNNNNNNNNNNNNNNNNNNNNNNNNNNNNNNNNNNNNNNNNNNNNNNNNNNNNNNNNNNNNNNNNNNNNNNNNNNNNNNNNNNNNNNNNNNNNNNNNNNNNNNNNNNNNNNNNNNNNNNNNNNNNNNNNNNNNNNNNNNNNNNNNNNNNNNNNNNNNNNNNNNNNNNNNNNNNNNNNNNNNNNNNNNNNNNNNNNNNNNNNNNNNNNNNNNNNNNNNNNNNNNNNNNNNNNNNNNNNNNNNNNNNNNNNNNNNNNNNNNNNNNNNNNNNNNNNNNNNNNNNNNNNNNNNNNNNNNNNNNNNNNNNNNNNNNNNNNNNNNNNNNNNNNNNNNNNNNNNNNNNNNNNNNNNNNNNNNNNNNNNNNNNNNNNNNNNNNNNNNNNNNNNNNNNNNNNNNNNNNNNNNNNNNNNNNNNNNNNNNNNNNNNNNNNNNNNNNNNNNNNNNNNNNNNNNNNNNNNNNNNNNNNNNNNNNNNNNNNNNNNNNNNNNNNNNNNNNNNNNNNCGAGCCGGGGCGGCGGGGGCGGCGGGGCGGCGGCGGCGGGGUGGGAAGAGAGAAACGGCGAGGGAGAGAAGAAGUGAGUAACGGGAGGGGGGUACGGGCCGUUAGGUAGUGAGCUCUUUGCCGUCUGCCUCUCUUUGCCGUCCGCCCUUUUGCCUCUUUGCCGUCUGCUGGCAGACGGCAAAGAGGUGGGCCGUUAAGUUUUUUCCAAACGGGCAGGGGGUGGGGGCCACCUCACUCUUUGCCGUCCGCCAGCGGACGGCAAAGAUUCUUUGCCGUCUGCUGGCUGACGGCAAAGAGCUCGCAGAUGGCAAAGAGCUUCUUUGCCGUCCGCCUUUUCUUUGCCGUCUGCUUUUGGGUAGCUGAUGGCAAAGAGCUUCUUUGCCGUCAGCUAGCAGACGGCAAAGAGCUGGCAGAUGGCAAAUUAGCUGAUUCCAGUAGUGACAUAUUAUUCAAUAGAAUUUCAGCUUCAUCCGGUGUUCUUUCCCUGAAAACAGAACCAGCACAACUAUCCAGGUAAUCUCUGGAAGCAUCGGUUAGUCCAUUAUAAAAGAUAUCAAGUAUUUCAUUUUUCUUAAGAGGAUGAUCAGGCAAAGCAUUAAGUAAUUGGAGAAGCCUCCCCCAAGCUUGUGGGAGACUCUCUUCUUCAAUUUGCACAAAAUUAUAUAUUUCCCUUAAAGCAGCUUGUUUCUUAUGAGCAGGGAAAUAUUUAGCAGAGAAGUAAUAAAUCAUAUCCUGGGGACUACGCACACAACCAGGAUCAAGAGAAUUAAACCAUAUCUUAGUAUCACCCUUUAAUGAGAACGGAAAUAUUUUAAGGAUAUAAAGGUGGCGAGAUUUAUCAUCAUUAGUGAACAGGGUGGCUAUAUCAUUUAAUUUAGUAAGAUGAGCCACAACAGUUUUAGAUUCAUAGCCAUGAAAAGGAUCAGAUUCAACCAAAGUAAUUAUAUCAGGAUCAACAGAAAAUUCAUAAUCCUUAUCAGUAACACAGAUAGGUGAAGUAGUAAAAGUAGGGUCAGGUUUCAUUCUAGCAUUAAGAGAUUGCUGCUUCCAUUUAGCUAAUAACCUCUUGAGCUCGUAUCUAUCGUUGCAAGCUAAAAUAGCUCUAGCAGCUUCUUUUUCCAGAACAUAACCCUCAGGAACAACAGGCAAUUCAUAUUUAUUAGGGGGAGAGUCUUCAUCAUCACUUUCAUCAAUAUUAUCAGUUUCAAUAAUUUCAUUCUCUCUAACCCUAGCAAGUUGUUCAUCAAGAAAUUCACCAAGUGGCACAGUAGUAUCAAGCAUAGUAGUAGUUUCAUCAUAAGUAUCAUGCAUAGCAAAAGUGGCAUCAUCAAUAACAUGCGACAUAUCAGAACGAGUAGCAGAAGCAGGUUUGGGUGUCGCAAGCUUACUCAAAACAGAAGGUGAAUCAAGUGCAGAGCUAGAUGGCAGUUCCUUACCCCCCCUCGUAGUUGAGGGAUAAAUUGUUGUCUUAGCGUCUUUCAAGUUCUUCAUAGUGACCAGCAUAUAUAAAUCCCAAGUGACUCAAAGAAUAGAGCUAUGCUCCCCGGCAACGGCGCCAGAAAAUAGUCUUGAUAACCCACAAGUAUAGGGGAUCGCAACAGUUUUCGAGGGUAGAGUAUUCAAUCAAAUUUAUUGAUUCGACACAAGGGGAGCCAAAGAAUAUUCUCAAGUAUUAGCAGUUGAGUUGUCAAUUCAACCACACCUGGAUAACUUAGUAUCUGCAGCUAAGUGUUUAGUAGCAAAGUAGUAUGAUAGUAACGGUAACGGUAACAAAAGUAAUAUUUUUGGGUUUUGUAGUGAUUGUAACAGUAGCAACGGAAAAGUAAAUAAGCGGAGAACAGUAUAUGAAAAGCUCGUAGGCAUUGGAUCGGUGAUGGAGAAUUAUUCCGGAUGUGGUUCAUCAUGUAGCAGUCAUAACAUAGGGUGACACGGAACUAGCUCCAAUUCAUCAAUGUAAUGUAGGCAUGUAUUCCGAAUAUAGUCAUACGUGCUUAUGGAAAAGAAGUUGCAUGACAUCUUUUGUCCUACCCUCCCGUGGCAGCGGGGUCCUAAUGGAAACUAAGGGAUAUUAAGGCCUCCUUUUAAUAGAGUACCGGACCAAAGCAUUAACACAUAGUGAAUACAUGAACUCCUCAAACUAUGGUCAUCACCGGGAGUGGUCCCGAUUAUUGUCACUUCGGGGUUGCCGGAUCAUAACACAUAGUAGGUGACUAUAGACUUGCAAGAUAGGAUCAAGAACUCACAUAUAUUCAUGAAAACAUAAUAGGUUCAGAUCUGAAAUCAUGGCAUUCGGGCCCUAGUGACAAGCAUUAAGCAUAGCAAAGUCAUAGCAACAUCAAUCUCAGAACAUAGUGGAUACUAGGGAUCAAACCCUAACAAAACUAACUCAAUUACAUGAUAGAUCUCAUCCAACCCAUCACCGUCCAACAAGCCUACGAUGGAAUUACUCACGCACGGCGGUGAGCAUCAUGAAAUUGGUGAUGGAGGAUGGUUGAUGAUGACGACGACGAAUCCCCCUCUCCGGAGCCCCGAACGGACUCCAGAUCAGCCCUCCCGAGAGGUUUUAGGGCUUGGCGGUGGCUCCGUAUCGUAAAACGCGAUGAAUCCUUCUCUCUGAUUUUUUUCUCCCCGGAAGUGAAUAUAUGGAGUUGGAGUUGAGGUCGGUGGAGCGUUAGGGGGCCCACGAGGCAGGGGGCAUGCCCAGGGGGGCAGGCGCGCCCCCACCCUCGUGGACAGGGUGUGAGCCCCCUGACAUGGAUUUUUCUUCCAGUAUUUUUAAUAUUUUCCAAAAAGAUGUUCCGUGGAGUUUUAGGUCAUUCCGAGAACUUUUGUUUCUGCACAUAAAUAACACCAUGGAAAGUUUGCUGAAAACAGCGUCAGUCCGGGUUAGUUCCAUUCAAAUCAUGCAAGUUAGAGUCCAAAACAAGGGCAAAAGUGUUUGGAAAAGUAGAUACGACGGAGACGUAUCAGGGAUAGAUUGGUAGGAAAAGACCAUCGCCCAUCCCCGACCGCCACUCAUAAGGUUGACAAUCAAAGAACACCUCAUGUUUCAAAUUUGUCACACAACGGUUACCAUAUGUGCAUGCUACGGGACUUGCAAACUUCAACACAAGUAUUUUUAAAAUUCACAACUACUCAACUAGCAUGACUCUAAUAUUACCAUCUUCAUAUCUCAAAACAAUCAUCAAGUAUCAAACUUCUCAUAGUAUUCAAUGCACUUUUUAUGAAAGUUUUUAUUAUACCCAUCUUGGAUGCCUAUCAUAUUAGGACUAAUUUUAUAACCAAAGCAAAUUACCAUGUUGUUCUAAAGAACUCUCAAAAUAAUAUAAGUGAAGCAUGAGAGAUCAAUAAUUUCUAUAAAAUAAAACCACCACCGUGCUCUAAAAGAUAUAAGUGAAGCACUAGAGCAAAAUUAUCUAGCUCAAAAGAUAUAAGUGAAGCACAUAGAGUAUUCACUACAGGAAUUUGCUACUUUGCCAUCUGCCACUGCAGACGGCAAAGGCAAGGAUGGUGGACGACAAAGGCCUUUGCCGUCUGCCGCAGACGGCAAAAGGCUCCGGCAAACUAGGCGUCGACAAAGAGCUUCUUUGCUGUCUGCUUUUUGAAGCGGACGGCAAAGGGGCCUUUGUCAUCAGCGGCGGACGGCAAAGAUGCCCUCCCUUUGCCGUCUUUCAAACGCAAUCUUUGCCGUCAGCCUUGUAAAAUCACGGACGGCAAAGAAUUUAGUAAAUAUUAAAAAAACGUUCGGUAAGCAGCCUGUCCAGCGUCCUGCGUUUGGCGUGUCCGGUGCCCAAUCCGCCCGCGGCUGCGCCGGAGCUCACCACGCUCAUCCGGGCGCUGGAUCCGAUUGCGACCCCUCCCUUCGAUGAGGGCCAGCACCCAGCACCCUUGGUUGCGGGUAGAGCUGCCGCAGGCCGCCGCUGCUCGAGGUGGGAGGUGGUGCAGCGUCGAGGUAUCGGGCCGGCAGGGGCAAACGGGGAUCGGGCCAGGCACGGCGGCGUCGAGGGCGAAGAGAGAAGGGGCCGGCGCCGGCGAGCGAGGUGGUGGCCGGAAGGAGCAAUGGGGCCCGGGGCCGGCGGGGGCAAAAGGGGACGGGGCCGGGCACGGCGGCGUCGGGGGCGAAGAGAGAAGGGGCCUGCGCCGGNNNNNNNNNNNNNNNNNNNNNNNNNNNNNNNNNNNNNNNNNNNNNNNNNNNNNNNNNNNNNNNNNNNNNNNNNNNNNNNNNNNNNNNNNNNNNNNNNNNNNNNNNNNNNNNNNNNNNNNNNNNNNNNNNNNNNNNNNNNNNNNNNNNNNNNNNNNNNNNNNNNNNNNNNNNNNNNNNNNNNNNNNNNNNNNNNNNNNNNNNNNNNNNNNNNNNNNNNNNNNNNNNNNNNNNNNNNNNNNNNNNNNNNNNNNNNNNNNNNNNNNNNNNNNNNNNNNNNNNNNNNNNNNNNNNNNNNNNNNNNNNNNNNNNNNNNNNNNNNNNNNNNNNNNNNNNNNNNNNNNNNNNNNNNNNNNNNNNNNNNNNNNNNNNNNNNNNNNNNNNNNNNNNNNNNNNNNNNNNNNNNNNNNNNNNNNNNNGGCGAGGUGGUGGCCGGAAGGGGGCGAUGGGGGCCGGGGCUGGCGGGGGCAAACGGGGACGGGGCCGGGCAUGGCGGCGUUGGGGGAGAAGAGAGAAGGGGCCGUGCCGGCGGGCAAGGUGGUGGCCGGAAGGGGGCAACGGGAGCCGGGGACGGCGGCCGGCUGGAGCGACGAGAGGCGGGGAGCAGAGGCGUACGAGAGAGAAGGGAGACAGUUCGUGGUGGGGGUGGCUCUCAGGAGGAUAAGGGAGAGAGAGAGAGUGGGUGGUGGGGGCGUGGGUUGUGGAGAUGCAUGUGUGGAGCAGAUCAUGCCAUGUCAUCGAUCCGUGUGAUCGAUCCGCGUGGUGUGCUUUCUCUUUGCCGUCCGCUGGCGGACGACAAAGAAUUUUUGCCGUCCACCAGCAGACGGCAAAGAAACUGGCCAUUAGGUUGUCCUCGUAAGCCCGCCACCCACCCUCUUUGCCGUCAGCUAGCAGACGGCAAAGCUUCUUUGCUGUCCGCUAGCAGAUGGCAAAGAUAUGGCUGAUGGCAAACCCUAUAUUUGCCAUCCGCUGCCUCUUUGCCAUCCGCUUUCUGGUGGCUGAUGGCAAAGCCUUCCUUUGCCAUCCGCUGGCUGACGGCAAAGAGUCGGCAGACGGGAAAUCUGCUGAUUCCAGUAGUGAUUCUAAUAAAUUCCAAUCCAUGUGUGUCUCUCUCAAAAGGUGUGUACAACAAGGAUGAUUGUGGUAAACUAAAAAGUAAAGACUCAAAUCAUACAAGACGCUCCAAGCAAAACACAUAUCAUGUGGUGAAUAAAAAUAUAGCCUCAAGUAAAGUUACCGAUGGACGAAGACGAAAGAGGGGAUGCCUUCCGGGGCAUCCCCAAGCUUAGGCUUUUGGUUGUCCUUGAAUUUUACCUUGGGGUGCCUUGGGCAUCCCCAAGCUUAGGCUCUUGCCACUCCUUAUUCCAUAAUCCAUCAAAUCUUUACCCAAAAACUUGAAAACUUCACAACACAAAACUCAACAGAAAAUCUCAUUAGCUCCGUUAGAGAAAUAAAACAAACCACCACAAUAAGGUACUGUAAUGAACUCAUUAUUUAUUUAUAUUGGUGUUAAACCUACUGUAUUCCAACUUCUCUAUGGUUCAUACCCCCCGAUACUAGCCAUAUAUUCAUUAAAAUAAGCAAACAACACACGAAAAACAGAAUCUAUCAAAAACAGAAUAGUCUGUAGCAAUAUGAUUUGUUCGAAUACUUCUGGAACUCCAAAAAUUCGGAAAAACUAGGACAACCUGGAAAAUUUGUAUGUUGAUCUACUGCAAAAAGAAUUGGCAAUUUAUCACGUUUGGUGAACUUUAACAAUUAUUUUUGUGAUCGCAAAGUUUCUGUCUUUUUCAGCAAGAUCAAACAACUAUCACCCAAGAAGAUCCUAUUGGUUCUACUUGGCACAAACACUAAUUAAAACAUAAAAACACAUCUAAAUAGAAGCUAGAUGAAUUAUUUUUUACUAAACAGAAACAAAAAGCAAGAAAAAUAAAAUAAAAUUGGGUUGCCUCCCAACAAGCGUUAUCGUUUGACGCCCCUAGCUAGGCAUAAAGGCAAGAAUAGAUCUAAGUAUUACCAUCUUUGGUAUGCAAUCCAUAAGUGGCUCUCAUAAUAGAUUCAUAAGGUAAUUUAAUUUUCUUUCUAGGAAAGUGUUUCAUGCCUUUCCUUAACGGAAAUUGGAAUCUAAUAUUUCCUUCUUUCAUAUCAAUAAUUGCACCAAUCAUUCUAAGAAAAGGUCUACCAAGAAUAAUAGGACAUGUAGGAUUACAAUCUAUAUCAAGAACAAUGAAAUCUACGGGCACAUAAUUCCUAUUUGCAACAAUAAGAAUAUCAUUAAUCCUUCCCAGAGGUUUCUUAAUGGUGGAAUCCACAAUAUGCAAAUUUAAAGAACAAUCAUCAAAUUCACGGAAACCUAACACAUCACACAAAGUUUUUGGAAUCGUUGAAACACUAGCACCCAAAUCACACAAAGCAUAGCAUUCAUGAUCUUUAAUCUUAAUUUUAAUAGUAGGUUCCCACUCAUCAUAAAGUUUUCUAGGGAUAGAAACUUCCAAUUCAAGCUUUUCUCCAUAGGAUUGCAUUAGAGCAUCAACGAUAUGUUUGGUAAAAGCUUUAUUUUGACUAUAAGCAUGAGGAGAAUUUAACACGGAUUGCAACAAGGAAAUACAAUCUAUUAAAGAACAAUUAUCAUAAUUAAAUUCCUUGAAAUCCAAAAUAGUGGGUUCAUUGCUACCUAAAGUUUUGACCUCUUCAAUCCCACUUUUACCAAUUUUUGCAUCGAGAUCUAAAAACUCCGAAUCAUUGGGACGCCUCUUAACUAAAGUUGACUCAUCUCCAGUCCCAUCUUUAUCAAGAUUCAUAUUGCAAAACAAAGAUUUAAUAGGAGACACAUAAAUAACUUUUAUAUCUUCAUCAUUAUUAUCAUGAAAACUAGAAGAACACGCUUUCAUAAAGCAAUCUGUUUUAGCACGCAUCCUAGCGGUUCUUUCUUUGCACUCAUCAAUGGAAAUUCUCAUAGCUUUGAGAGACUCAUUGAUAUCAUGCUUAGGUGGAAUAGAUCUAAGUUUCAAAGAAUCAACAUCAAGAGAAAUUCUAUCCAUGUUCCUAGCCAACUCAUCAAUCUUACGCAAUUUUUCUUCAAGCAAAGCAUUGAAAUUCUUUUGCGAACUAAUAAAUUCUUUAACACUAGUCUCAAAAUCAGAGGGCAUCUUAUUAUAAUUUCCAUAAGAGUUGUUGUAGGAAUUACCAUAAUUAUUAGAGGAAUUACUAGGAAACGACCUAGGAUUAAAAUUACCUCUAUACGCGUUGUUACCAAAAUUGUUCCUACCAACAAAAUUAACAUCCAUAGAUUCAUUAUUAUUCUCAAUCAAAGUAGACAAGGGCAUAUAAUUAGGAUCAAUAGGAGCACUCUUAUUAGCAAACAAUUUCAUAAGUUCAUCCAUCUUUCCACUCAAAACAUUAAUCUCUUCUAUCGCAUGAACCUUUUUACUAGUAGAUCUUUCGGUGUGCCAUUGAGAAUAAUUAACCAUAAUAUUAUCUAGGAGUUUAGUAGCUUCUCCUAAAGUGAUUUCCAUAAAAGUGCCUCCCGCAGCCGAAUCUAAAAGAUUUCUAGAAGCAAAAUUCAAUCCAGCAUAAAAAAUUUGUAUGAUCAUCCAUAAAUUCAAACCAUGAGUAGGGCAAUUACGUAUCAUUAAUUUCAUCCUCUCCCAAGCUUGUGCAACAUGCUCAUGAUCAAGUUGCUUAAAAUUUAUAAUAUUGUUUCUAAGAGAGAUGAUCUUAGCGGGAGGAAAAUACUUAGAGAUAAAAGCAUCUUUGCACUUAUUCCAUGAAUCAAUACUAUUUUUAGGCAAAGACGAAAACCAAGUUUUAGCACGAUCUCUAAGUGAAAACGGAAAUAGCUUCAAUUUAACAAUAUCAUUAUCCACGUCUUUCUUCUUUUGCAUAUCACACAAAUCAACAAAGUUGUUUAGAUGUGUAGCGGCAUCUUCACUAGGAAGGCCAGAGAAUUGAUCUUUCAUGACAAGAUUCAACAAAGCAGCAUUAAUUUCACAAGAUUCAGCAUCGGUAAGAGGAGAAAUCAGAGUGCUAAGAAAAUCAUUGUUGUUGGUAUUGGAAAAGUCACACAAUUUAGUAUUUUCUUGAGCCAUCGUGACAAACAAUCAAACACACAAGCACACAAGAAGCAAGCGAAAAGAGACGAACGAAAAAAGAAGGCGAAUAAAACGACAAGAGUGAAGUGGGGGAGAGGAAAAUGGCAAAUAAUGUAAUGCGAGCGAUAAGAGUUUGUGAUGGGUACUUGGUAUGUCUUGACUUGACUUGACUUGGCGUAAGCCUCCCCGGCAACGGCGCCAGAAAUCCUUCUUGCUACCUCUUGAGCAUGCAUUGGUUUUCCCUUGAAGAUGAAAGGGUGAUGCAGCAAAGUAGCGUAAGUAUUUCCCUCAGUUUUUGAGAACCAAGGUAUCAAUCCAGUAGGAGGUUACACGCAAGUCGCCUCGUACCUACACAAACAAAUGAGAACCUUGCAACCAACACGAUAAAGGGGUUGUCAAUCCCUUCACGGCCACUUGCAAAAGUGAGAUCUGAUAGAGAUAAUAAGAUAAAUAUUUUUGGUAUUUUUCUGAUAUAGAUUGGAAAGUAAAGAUUGCAAAAUAAAAGACGGAAGAAAUAGUAAAUUGAUAGGAAAAUAAUAUGAUGGAAGAUAGACCCGGGGGCCAUAGGUUUCACUAGUGGCUUCUCUCAAGAUAGCAUGAUCUACGGUGGAUGAACAAAUUACUGUCGAGCAAUUGAUAGAGAAGUGCAUAGUUAUGAGAAUAUCUAGGCAUGAUCAUGUAUAUAGGCAUCACGUCCUUGACAAGUAGACCGAAACGAUUGUGCAUCUACUACUAUUACUCCACACAUCGACCCCUAUCCAGCAUGCAUCUAGAGUAUUAAGUUCAUAAGAACAGAGUAACGCAUUAGGCAAGAUGACAUGAUGUAGAGGGAUAAACUCAAGCAAUAUGUUAUAAAACCCAUCUUUUUAUCCUUGAUGGCAACAAUACAAUACAUGCCUUUCUGCCCCUGCUGUCACUGGGAAAGGACACCGCAAGAUUGAACCCAAAGCUAAGCACUUCUCCCAUUGCAAGAAAGAUCAAUCUAGUAGGCCAAACCAAACUGAUAAUUCGAAGAGAGUUGCAACGAUAUUUAAAUCAUACAUAUAAGAAUUCAGAGAAGAACCAAAUAUUGUUCAUAGAUAAUCUUGAUCAUAAACCCACAAUUCAUCAGAUCUUGACAAACACACCGGAAAAAGAAUUACAUCGAAUAGAUCUCCAAAAAGAUUGAGGAGAACUUUGUAUUGAGAUCCAAAGAGAGAGAAGAAGCCAUCUAGCUAAUAACUAUGGACCCGAAGGUCUGUGGUAAACUACUCACACAUCAUCGGAGAGGCUAUGGUGUUGAUGUAGAAGCCCUCCGUGAUCGAUUCCCCCUCCGGUGGAGCACCGGAAAAGGCCCCAAGAUGGGAUCUCAUGGGUACAGAAGGUUGCGGCGGUGGAAAUAGGGUUUCCUGGUGCUCUCGGAUGUUUUCAGGGUAUAUGAGUAUAUAUAGGCGAAAGAAGUAGGUCGAUGGAGCCACGAGGGACCCACGAGGGUGGGGGGCGUGCCUCCCUACCUCGGGGCUUCCUCAUUGCUUCCUUGACGUCCACUCCAAGUCUUCUGGAUUGCGUUUGUUCCAAAAAUAACUCUCCCGAAGGUUUCAUUCCGUUUGGAUUCCGUUUGAUAUUCCUUUCCUGCGAAACACUGAAAUAGGCAAAAAAACAGCAAUUUGCACUGGGCCAUCAGUUAAUAGGUUAGUCCCAAAAAUAAUAUAGAAGUGCAUAGUAAAGCCCAUUAAACAUCCAAAACAGAUAAUAUAAUAGCAUGGAACAAUAAAAAAUUAUAGAUACGUUGGAGACGUAUCACCGCUCCCGCGCGCUGGACUCUCGAGCGCUCGCUCGCAACUCCACCCACCCCAUCCAUCUGCGGCGCCGUCGCCGCCCGACGACCGUUUCGGCGCUUCCCCGGCCUAUCCCCGCGCCGCGGCGGCUUCCUCCGCCUCCCCCUAGUCCCGCCGCCCCUCGCGUGCGGCGGUCCGCCGGCGAACAGCGCGCGGCCGCUCGCUGCCGCUCGGUGCCCGCAAGGUGAUCGACAAAAUGCGCGCAAGGUAUGUAUUGCUCAAACUUCAUGAAUUUGGUGCAUGUUGAUUGUAGUUUUUAUAGCCUAGUAUUCAACAUUGUAGAUGAGUUCGUCGUAUGAUUCUUUCGAAGAAGAAUUUGAUAUGGAAGAGGAAGAGGAUCUUGCAAUGAUCCUAGCUAUGCACAUCAAUAAAAAACCAAGCACGGUGGUUCGGUUAUGGGUCGGCAGAAAAUUUGGAGGGAUAGGAUCGAUGCCCAUAACAGAUUGAUGAGGCACUAUUUCGUGGAGAAUCCCACAUACCCGGAGUCAUACUUUCGUCGCCGGUUUAGGAUGAGCACCGAGUUGUUCAGGCGCAUUGCAGAGAAACUAGUGAGCCAUGACCGGUUUUUCAGCAAAGGAGGAAUGCCGCCAGAGAGCUCGGGCAUAGCACCUUUCAGAAGGUAACAGCCGCUUUGCAUAUGUUGGCAUACGGUAUCCCAGCUGAUCUAGUUGAUGAUCACUUUGCUAUGGGUGAGAGCCAAGCCAUCAUGUGUGUCAAGCGCUUCGCAGUCAGAAUUGUCCAAGUGUUUGGCCAGCAGUAUUUGAGAUCUCCCAAUGCUGAAGACGCCGCAAGACUAUUGGAGAUGAACAAAGCUUGCAGCUUCCCAGGUAUGCUUGGCUCAAUAGAUUGCAUGCACUGGAGUUGGAAGAAUUGUCCAAAGGCAUGACAUGGGCAAUUCCACGGCCAAAAAAGGGUUCCACUAUAAUCCUUGAAGCGGUGGCCAAUCAAGAGACUUGGAUUUGGCAUGCAUUCUUUGGAAUGCUUGGAUCUUUGAAUGACAUCAAUGUUGUCAACCGGUCACCACUGAUGAAUAAGAUUGCAAAUGGUGAUUUGCCAUCGGUGCAGUUUGUAGCAAAUGACCAUACAUACAACUAUGGCUAUUAUCUUGCGGAUGGCAUCUACCCAAAGUGGCAAACAUUUGUGAAGCCGUUGAAAAAAUCGAAAGGUAAGAAAAAUCUUGAUUUCCACAAUGGUCAAGUGGCGGAUAGAAAAGAUGUGGAGAGAGCUUUUGGGAUUUUGCAAGCCCAAUUUGCUAUUGUGAGAGGACUGGCUAGAUUUUGGGAUCAAAAAAUGCUUUGGUACAUCAUGCACGCUUGUGUGAUCAUGCACAACAUGAUCAUCGAGAAUGAGCAUGGCCAAGAUGUAGACUACUCUCAGUAUGAUCUCUUGGGACAUCCCGUGUGAGUGCGACGAAGGGCUGAAAGGGUGGCCCGUUUUGUUGCCUCCUAUCAUGCCAUUCGACGUCCCGCAGCACAUGAUGACCUUCAGAAGGAUCUCAUUGAGGAGUUGUGGGCAUGGAAUGGACGACAAAGAGCAUCAUGAUUUGUGCGUUCGAUGUUGUAUUGUUGAACUAUUUGUUGUGUUAUUGCACUAUUUGUUGUAUUUAAUGAUAAACUGUUUGUUUGAGUUGUAAUAACAAAAUUGAACUAUUUAUUGUUGAUUUAUUUUGCUUGUGUUUGGAAUGCAUAUGUUGUUUGUGCGAGAGUCGCGCGCGCUGCAUUUUAGCGCCGCUGCUGGAGCCAGCGCUGCCCGCCGCGCCAAACCAGGCGAUGGGCGCGCGACAAAGUAGUUUUUAGCGCGCGACGCGUUCGGCGGCUGUUGGAGAUGCUCUAAGCCAAGUUAGCUUCGGACACUUGGAGGAUUCAUUCGUCUUUGCCCAUCCCAUCUCACCACACCCCACCAUCUUUCAGGGCUCCUUUGGUUGCAUAGGCACCAUACCCAGGGUAGCAAAGCCCCAUCGGAGAAAAUUUCCAUGGCAAGUGGGAUCCCUUCCAACGCACAGGGGAAAUUUCUGUUGUCGUUUGGUGCAGAAAGAAGGCGGGGGAGCAGGGGGCGAGGUGGAGCAGCCGAUGCAGCGGGGACGAGGUGAAUUCUCCCGAGGUCAAGUGGCUGUGAUUUCCUGCCCAGGGAAAGGAAGGGGAUCGGGGAUGAAACAUUCCCUGCCCGAUGGCACCAAAUCGCCCUCCAGAAAAACUGGGGCACAAUUCAAUCGUGGUUUCAGGGAAACGGCGGGGAUCCCCCCAGGAUCCCUUGCUACCAAAUGAGGCCUCAAGGUGCUAAAAUCUUCUUCCUCAUAUAGUCACAUCCACCAACGAUGCGCCGUGAGUAAAACUCGCUGGCCCACGGAGAGCCUCCGGUUCAGCGGCACCAACUUAUUUAAAUCCAGGAAUCCCUCUUUUUAAAAAGGACGCGUCUAGUGGGCGGCCGGCUGCCCACUAGUGCAACCGAGCGGCUGGCUGAAAAAGGAAACCCCAUGUUCCCCGCGAAAUAGAAAAGGAAGGGCCACCAACCCGGCCGAUCGACCGGCCACCAAAACAGACCGAUCGAGCGGCCACCAACAGAAUCGCAAACCGCCCCACGUGGCCAGCUGUUCCCAGCUCGCACCCACGCCCGCUCGCCCCCCACGCCUCAGCCCCUCCCGCGCUGCCUUCUUCUUCUUCUGCACGCCAGAAGGAGAUCCAACAGAAUCGCCCCCAACCCUUCUUCCUCCUCCUACACAGCCGCCAUGGGAGCCCCAAAGUAGAGAAGGAGCUGCUUCAAAAAAGAAGAUCUAAGGGCAGGGUGGUCAGAGCCAUACCAGGCAGUAACAUCAAGUAGGUAAGCCCCCUCUGCCCCUCUUAACUUCCCCCUUUCUUCUACUGCAUAUAUGUAGGCAUAUGUAAACCCCCUUCUCCAUGGAUCUAGGACAAAUCCAUGGAGAAGCUGCUUCAAAAAAGAGGUGAAUCUGGCACAUCAUACCAGCCUACUUGAUGUUACUGUUGGAUGUGUUAAACAAGCCAAAAACUACUUGAUGCAUGCCAAACAAGUUUCUCCCAUCUGGAUGUGUUAAACAAGCCAACUAAAAACCAGUUCUCUGGCCAAUUAAAACAUGAUUAAAGCCAACUCAACAAGCAUCGUAGCCAAAAACUAAACAUGCAUUCUACCAACUUGUAGUUAUUGUUUGCAAAUGAACAAAUUGACUGUCCAAUAGAUAUGUGCAAUGAAAAAUUCAUAAAUGUGCAACUGAACAUGCAUCCCAGCCAACUGAACCUAUAUUUUGGCAACUCGGCAUGCAUGCUAGCCAAAACUAAAACAUGCAUUGUACCCCACGUGUACUCGGCAUGCAUGCUAGCCAAAACUGUAGUAUAUGUGCAAAUAAAAACAUGUUUUCUGGCCAACUAAACAUGCAUGUUGGCCAAAACUGAGAAAAUGUAUCCUGGCCAACUGAGACAUCUAUUCUAGCCAACUGAAUACAUUAACUGUCCAACUGAACAUGCAUGUUGGCCAAAAACUGAAAUAAAUGCAACCUGGCCAACUGAGACAUCUAUUCUAGCCAACUAAAAACAUUGAAUGUCCAACUGAAUAUGUAUGCUGCCCAAGUGGAAAAAUGCAUCCUGGCAAUUGAGACGUCUAUUCUAGCGAAACCAGAAAUCUGUAGUGUGACAGCAAAAACACAAGAACUUUUGUCCAUGGCUAAUGAAGCCACAAACCAUAUUAACAUAUUCACGCAUAUAAUCUUGUCCCACACAUAUAUUCUGGUCCCACACCUAUUGCAAAGCUAUAGUGUAAAAAUAUGUUCAAUAUACCGGAACUAAAAACAUAACGGCGAUGAAAAUAUAUAACUACAAUCUGUCCUCCAAUUCUUCUUUCUUCUUUCACCUGGAUUUUCCAUGUCAAAUGUAACAUCAAAUUAUGUGCAGAAAAAUCUGAAACAGCUCCUUGCCAACACAGAAAACCUAUAGAUCAUUGCAACAAAACAAAGGGAAAAAGUCAGAAAACUCUGUAGUAAAAAGAAGUCAUGCUCUUGCCAGCUAUUUACUGCAAACUGUGCAACUAACAUAACAACUCUGUGCAAACAAAAAAAUUCAUAACUAUUAUAAUAAAGAUUAUGCUACAGUCAUGUUGCUUUUGGAACUAAGAUUGUCACAAAAUGGUGUGCAACUGCCUAUUUACUAAGUUUUUAGGUUGUUUGAAACACUCUUUUCUGUGGUUACUAAUAGAUGACAUCAAUUUCUACUUUUUAAUAUGUGCAGGGAGUGUGUGGCAGCAUCCAAGAAAAGGAAAAAAAAUGCUUGAUCUCAAUGAGUUGCCUCCUGAUCUCAAUGAGCUUCCUCAUGAUACGGAUCAGCAGCAACCCAACAUACAACAAGGAAAAUGGACAGAAAAUGGUCGAUCUGUUUACUACACGCAGGCAAGUCAUGAUGGUAACCCUAUGGGCCAUGACAAUGUGGCAGGCCAGUCAUCAGACCGUGGUGCUCCUGUAGUGGUGUCUUUGCAGUCAGAGAGCCAUACUCUAGAUGACACGGGAACCGAGGCAAAUGUUCCUGGUCCAACCAAGACUGAGCUAGGAGCUGGGGCUAUUGACGGAGUUGUGCAAGGAGAAGAAGGAGAGGAUGAGGCUGGUUCUCAACCUAUGGAACCCUAUGUUGGCAUGAGGUUUGACAGCCUUCAAAUUGCUAAGGAUCACUACAACAGCUACGCACUACGGAUGGGUUUCUCUAUCAAGAUGAACACAUCUAGACGGACACCCCGCACCAAUGAAUUGAUAAAACAACAGUUUUGCUGCAACAAGUUCAAGAAGCCCAAAGCUGAUGAUGGAGGAGCUGAGGCUCCUCCUAUCCUGGACCCUAUUCUAGAUCCAAAAUCUGUUUACAGUGAUGAGGAGAUGGAAGAAGAACCUCCAAUAUUUGCUGAAGAGGAGGCUGGUACUAGUAAGAAGAAGAAGAAGCGCAAACGCGAGACAAUAAAGCAGACUCAGUGCAAAGCGAAAAUGUUGGUGAAGCUGAUAGAUGGGCGAUGGGAGGUGACGCACUUUGUUCGUGACCACAAUCAUCCGCUCGUGAACAAACCUUCAUUGUCCAAAUACUUGAGAUCCCACCAAGGCAUCUCACCUGAUGAAAAGGAGUUUCUACGCAUCUUGUAUAACUGCAACUUGACUACAGGUGUGGUGUUUUUCUAUAUCCCUUAAAGAAUUAAGUUUUCCUCUAGGCAGUCCAGUGUGCAACUGUUAUGGUACUACUGUGCAACUGGUGUCCAACUUCCCAUGCUGUUUGUAUAUCACUUUUGGUGCUUGUUGUGCAACUAGAUUGUCUUUACUGUGCAACUACACAAUGUCCUGUAUGCAAAGUGCAAAAGUGUUUUUAAAAAGGUGCAGCUAGGUGUCCAUUUCCUGCGAUUAUCUUCUGUGCCAACACAUGUCCUAUUACUGUGCAGCUGGAUGUGCGCAUUCGUGCAACUAAAAAAAGGAUAUACUGUUUGUUUUUGUAUUAUGCAGGACGUAUGAUGCAUGUAAUGGCAGAGUUCUAUGGAUCUGAGAUGAUGGUGCCAUUCGGACCAAAGGCAAUAACAAAUCUUUGUACAAGUUUCCGUAGAGAUGACACAAAGGAGGGUGAUCUGAUUGAGACAAUUGCGCACUUCAAGGAUAUACAAAAAACCGAUCCAGACUUCUUCUAUAAGGUGAAAUAUGAUGAAGAGGACAGAGUUGUCAACAUAUUUUGGGUGGAUGGCUUAGCUCGAAAAGCUUAUGCGGAGGCGUACCACGAUUGCAUAUCGUUUGACACCACCUACAUGACCAACAUGUACAAUAUGCCGUUCGCGCCCUUCAUAGGAAUAAACCGACAUGGCCAAUCUUUCAUGCUGGGUUGCACGUUUGUGAGGCAGGAGUUGGCAUCGAGCUUUGAUUGGGUCUUUGGAGCAUUCCUAGAGGCUAUGGAUGGCAAAUCUCCUGACAACUUCAUCACCGAUCAGGAUGGUGCAAUGAGGCAGUCAAUACAGAGCAUCUUUCCAACCACCGUGCACCGCUGUUGUCGAUGGCACAUCAUGAAAAAGGCUUAGGAAAAAGUUGGUUGGCUGCUGUGCCGGAAUCCAGGACUCUCUGAUGAUUUCAACAAGUGUGUUGACUUCAGCUUCACUAUAGACGAGUUUGAGCAGAAUUGGGCUAGGUUAAUGAUGAAGUACGAGGCUAUGACACACACGCACUUUGAGAAGUUGUACGAAUACAGGUCAACUUGGGUGCCGUGCUACUUCAAACACAGGUUCUUCCCGUUCCUACAGUCUACACAGCGUAGUGAGGGGUUCAACGCCGUCCUGAAAAGAUAUGUGAACCCACACAACUCAAUGCUGAACUUCGUCAAGCAAUAUGAAAAAAAUCCAGAACCACAUCCUUGCCAAGGAAGGCUGCAAUGAUUACAGGACAGAACACCUUGAGAUUGAGCUGUGGUCCAACUUCCUAAUAGAGAAGCAAGCUUACAAAACCUAUACUAGGGACCUUUACCGCAAGUUCAGAGAAGAGUUUGAGCUGAUUGGACGUUAUAAUGCAUUCCAAGUUGGUGCUGAUAUAUUUGAGCUCAGACCGAACCAGGAAUUUGUUGCCAAAUAUGGUUCUCGAAACUACUUGGUGCAGGCAAGGGUGGAGGAGGGUUCCUAUUUGUGUGAGUGCUAUAAAAUGGACAAGGACGGCAUCCUCUGUUGCCACAUCCUCAAGGUGUUCACCCAUAUUGGAGUUGAUGUCAUACCGGAAAGGUACCUGCUAAGACGGUGGACACCUACUGCUGUACCUAGUGCGCCAGGGACUGGUUAUGAGCAACCGGAUGAAAUGCCUCCUCAAUCAAAGAAGCAGAUAAGGGAGAGGAACAUGAUAUACGAUUUUCGGAAACUAGCAAAGUUUGCGAGUGGUUCUGAUCCAGCACAAGCUAUUGUAUACAAGCAUAUGCGCGCAGCACGUACCGAGAUCGGCCACCUGAACAAGUCCAAGAAAAAGAAAAAACCAACUGCUGCCACGGGGCCAUCAGAUGAUGGCAACCCUCGAGGACCUCCUCCACCUCCAGGCAGCAAUCAGGGGGCUCAUUAUCCAGGUAAUUACCUGCCCCAACUCCUGAUCUAACUAGGUGUGUAACUUCAGUUGCACACAUCAUUGUGCCCAGUUGCACACAUCAUGGUGGCUAGUUGCACAGAACAGGCUGCCUAGUUGCGCAUGCUGUGUUAGUUCAAGCAUCAAGAUAACACAACUAACUUGUUUUUCGUGUUCUGGAUAUAGGUGAUGUCAACCCUCAAGGACCUCCUCCACCUCAUGGCUGUACACGGCAUCCUCUGCCACCUCCUCCCCCGCGUGCUCCUCCCAAUGGCCCUACAUGCAGCACUCAGGAGGCUCAUCAUCCAGGUAAUUACCUGCCCCAACUCCCCAUCAAACUAGGUCUGUAACUCCAGUUGCACACAUCAUGGUGCUCAGUUGCACAAAAACAGGCUACCUAGUUGCACACGCUGUGUUAGUUCGAGCAUCAAAGAUAACACAACUAACUUGUUUGUCCUGUUCUGGCUAUAGGUGAUGCCAACCCUCAAAGACCUCCUCCCCCGCCUGGCCCAACUAGCAGUGCCCUGCGUGCUACUCCCAAUGGACCUACCGGCAGGACUCAGGGGGCUCAUCACCCAGGCAAAAUACCUUCCCCAACUCCCAACAAAACUAGGGUGUGUGACUUCAGUUGCACAUAUCAUAGUGCCCAGUUGCACAGAACAUGCUGCCUAGUUGCGUGCGCUGUGUUAGUUUGAGGAUCAAGCUAAAAAUCUAACUUGUUUUUCCUGUUCUGCCCAUAGGCGAUUACAAUCCAAGUACCAUGACGGGCCGUGCUACUACAGGUGUUUUUUUCCAACUUAACUUGCACACAGCAACCAGUUAGUUGCACAGCAUGGGCUGUGUGGUUGCAGAGAACAUCAGUGCUGGUUGCACAACAAAAAAAAUACUAAUUUUUUUAUAUGAUUAUUACACAGGUGAUCGUGAUGGUCCUACUGCCCCGUUGGAGGCUGCAUCCCCUGCACAAGCUUCUGAUGAUUUUGUGCCCAGGGAUCCUCCAAGGUCUACUACAAAGGGUAGGGAAAAGAGUCGACGGUACAAAUCGGCGCUGGAGCUACACCCAAAGAAGAAAAACAAAUGCAGCCAGUGCCAAUCUACAGAGCACACUGCUGGUGUGUGUCCACUCAGGCUACUGUGAUUCUGUUUCAUCGUUUGUAACUUUGAGACAAAAAGGAAAAUAAUGAUGUUUUUUUAGCAAUGUUGGGACCAAGUGGACACAUUCUGCAUCUAUGAUUUCUCUUUAUCUAAUUAUGCUCCUUAAAUUAGUUCAUGCACUAUGUAAAAAAGGUUGCUAUUUGUGCCUUUGUUGGCAACUGGUUAAAUAUUUAGUUGUUGAACAAUUGCAUGUCCAGUGCUCCUAAUGUAUCAACAAAAGUGAUGAUAUUGAGUUGCAAACGGAAUUACUACUAGUGUGCAACUACAAAAUCUGCUUAAAAAUUGUGCAAACCAGCAACUUCCUCCAUGGAGCAGAGAAAGAAAAAGAGUACUGACCUAGUCCUUGUCGUAUCUCAGCAACUUCCUCCAUGGGGCGGUGUUGUGCACGCUGGUGACCCAAUCAUAUGCCAGCUUCUUCCUGAUGUUGAGUACUUCCUUGGGUUCGUAGUUGGGCAGUUGGCUACCGUUCCACUCGGUGGCGUUAAGCAGUGCGAACAGCCCACACUCAUUACUGCGAUGGACAAGAAAGAAAAUUUGUCACAUAAAAUUAUAACCAAUAAAGAUAAUGCACUCUGUGCAACUGCUUAUGUUCUACUGUGCAACUGUUUAUGUUCUACUGUGCAACUGCUUAUGUGCCACUGUGCAACUGCUUAUGUGCCAGUGUACAACUACUUAUGUGCCACUCUGCAACUGGCUAGAUAAUCCAUUAGAAACUCAUAAAAAUGAUAAACAGAUUGCAUACUAGUACUGUGUCUUAAAAAACUAAAGAUUGCACAUGUAGAAAAAUUUUAAAACUACAAAAUGAUGGUAAGAAAUUGAGAAGAAUGCCAUGCUUAUUGUCUUACUUGCCAAGCUGCUUCGGUACGUCAAUGUCAAUAAUCUGGAAGUGCUCGAUGCUGAACUUUGGGUAAUGCUUCCUCCAUAGCUGGCGUACUGCCCCCGCGAUGGUAGAGGCGGUGGUCAUCAGCUCAAUGUUGUCCAGCGUCCUGUUUGAGUCAAGAACUUCGAAGCGUCCGUCCCUCAAGUUGCCAUUGAAGACCCAAUAAUGCCUCCCUCCCUCCUUAUCGGUUACAUCAGCGCACUCGAGCACUGGCAGCAUGACCUGCAAGCGUGAACGAUUUCAGACACAGAUACAGGCUGUAGCUAAGAAAAACAGUAAAAGACUUGGUCAAGUUAAAAACAGGUUGCAACAAUUAUGUGCCAACUAACAGAUGUGUCAUGUGCAACUGAACAUGCUGUGGGUGCCAACUAAAAGAGAUGGACCAUGUGGGCACAGCACUCACCAAGUCUUUCUUGUCGAGACGGUUCUUGUAAUCAAACUUCUUGUUUAUCUCAUUCACGUUGUGGAUCCCUUGCUGUAAAUUCAUCUGCAGAGAUUAUAAAGCAUGGCUCAAACUCCUUAGUAGAUGAAAGGCCUACCUCAAUUGGCCAACAAAAAAAGUGCUACAGAACAAAGAUGAGGGUAAAGAAGGUUUUGGAAAAACUUACAGAAAACCUCAGUGGCAUAACAACCUUCUUUGACCCAUCUGGUAAGUUAUCCAUGAUGUGUAAGAUUCCAGUCUCAAUAACAAUUUUUGACAGCCAUUGAACCGGCUUCAUCGAAUCAACUAACUCCUUUAAAGAAAUGUAGAAAGCACCAUACCUGAUUAUCUCAGGGCUGAAUUUUUUUUGAAAGCAAUAAAAAGACAAGUUAGCUCGAAGGGUCACAGCUAUGCUUUCUGUGCAACUAAAUGGCUGGUCCUGUGCAACUGAAAAAGAUAUGUAUGUAGGCUGUGGGGAGUUAGUUUACCUGGUAGCUUCAUCAUUUGCUCCUUCGUGAUGCCUGGCCCAAUACAAGAGGGCAUCGUAAAGCUUGUUCACUGCCUCAUUGGAGCUGAAAGUCUUCUUCUUGUUGUAGUCAAUGAAUGGAGACCUUUGAGAUGCUGCGGGCCUUAUUACCCUCCUCUGUCUUUGUGCAAUAGGUGGUCACAAAGAACUGCUCGUGCCAGCUUCUGGUUCUGCGCAUAUCGGGGUGUGGCAAUUCUCUGGUGAUCCAACAUCUAGCUCUUGAGCUAUUGCCUUGCCAGCAUCAGCAGCAACGCAUCCUUCAUUCACAGCUGCUGGGUCCAACUCACACUCAUCAAUACAAAUCACAUCGGCUUCCGCUGUUUCUGCUGCUGGAGCAGGUGCUGGAGCAUCACCAUCUAUGCCGAGGUCAAAAGAUGGUGCAUCGCAGAACCCGUCACCAUGAUAAGACUUUGAUCUUCGUAUGGGUUCAAGGACCAGGGCAUCUCCUUGCGGCACAAACACGGGUGCAUCGUUCACUGACUUGGUUCGCAAUAGUGUUGUAGUUGGCGGCCUUGGAGGCUUGCACCUACUUAUAAUGUUGAACACCUCCUCUUGUGUUAAUGGUUGCUGAAAGUCAGCUCUUGGUGAUGCAGGCUUGCUUGACUGCUGUGUGCUGGCUCUUGGGGACGGCAAUUUGGUAGUAGGAUCACCUCCUUUUGUGUUUGGCAUUGAAGCAUCUCUAUGAGUAGGCACCUUGGGGCUUGCAGUUGCAGUGGUGCCUUCCUGAGCAGCUGUGGUGGUUUUGACUGUGACCACGCUGCUAACUGACACAUCAGUUGGCACACUGGUAUCUGUAGUUGGCAUCUUUCCAGUCUGAGUUGGCAGCAACCUAGCAGUACUUGGCACCCCUGCAUCAAUGGCUGCGGCUCGCAGUUCUCUCUCGUCUCUGAACUCCAAACCUUUUGUGGCUUGUUCCCCCUUUGUGCCCCUGGCAAACUUGACAAUCUUUUGCUGCUUAGGUGGUUUUGGUGGGACUGUUGAAAGGGGAGUCUUCCCCUUGAUCUGUUGAACUCCUGUGAUGGUGGUUGGCUCUCUGCUCACUACAGUUGGCAUAUCAGUUUGAAGCACAGCUUCCUUGACCAUAUUUACUUCAGCAUCUGCACUCACCAUCUUCUCCUUGGUUUGAGGCAACUGCAGAUUCUUCUUCAUUGAAACUGCUUUACGCUUCUGGACCACGUGAGGGUUUGCCAUGGAUGCUGCCUUGCUCUUGCCGGAGCUUAGGUCUGGAAGCUGCUUCAAAUAUUCCUUGUAUUUUUCCUUUGAAUGAACCCAGUCAAGACCCUUUCCUGCUUCCUCCAUGUCAAUUUGAUUCUUUUCAGCAUCACUUGAUAAGAACAGGCUCUUGUCAAUGGCAAAGUUGAUCUUCUCACACAUAUCUUGGUCGCUAAAAUCUAGCACAGGAAAGGUGGUUGGCAAAGCUGGCUUCAAGUUGCAGAGCUUGAACAUAUCAAUGCUGCCCUGAGACUCUGCUUCGUCAUUUUUCUUUGACUUAGGCAAAUCCUUGUCUUUCCAGCAAGUUUUGUCAAUUAACAUAUGUAGUGUGCUCCUGCUACUCAAUGAAUUGCUGCUGCUGGCAGGGUGGCAGAAGUGCUAGUCCUCCUGGAUGUGUUGCCGCCUGUACCACCAGAACCAGGGGCGUUGUCAUCAUCAUCAUCAUCAUCGCUGCUGUCGCUGCCUCCAUUGGGUCCCCCUUUAUCAUCACCAUAACCAUCCUCGUCUUCUUCAUCGUCGUCUUCUUCCCUCUCACUGCCAUCAACUGCUGCGCCUUUGUCUUCUCCCCUCUCACUGCCAUCAACUGCUGCACCUUUGUCCCCGUCCCCCUCUUUGGCCUCACCUUCUUCUUCCUCCUCCUCUGCCUCACUAUCUUCUUCCUUGUCCUCCUCCUCUCCUUUGUCCUCUUCUUGUUUGUCCUCCUCCUCCUCCUCCUCUUCCUCUUCCUCCUCCUCCUCCUCCUCUGCAUCUUCUUCAUUGUCAUCCUCAUCCUUGUCCUCCUCCUCUGGUUCAUCCGCAUCUGUGUCCUCGUCAUCGUCAACAUCUAUCUUUGCUUCCAUUUCCUCAUCUUCUUCUGACUCAUCCUCAACAAACUCUUCUUCUUCUUGUAUAGUUGACCCUUGUCUCUUUCUUUUUGGAGCACGGCGUGACGCCCCGGUUUGCAUUGAUGGCUGCUGUACGUAAGGAUCAAUAUCCGGUUCCUCGUCAUCGAUCUUGGCAACUGCUUCAAUGAAGGUGCCAACCUGUUCAGUUACAGCCUUGCACAGGUCAUUGACCACUUUCGCAAUCUUUGCCUUUUUCUGCAUCAACAAAAAAAAGAUUUAGUACUGAUUCAGUUACAAAAAAAAUUAAAAAGUAAAAUGUCUGUAACUGACCAUGAUGUGAUAAGCAAAAACCGACUAAUACACACUUUCUGGCCAACUAAAAACAUGAUUCUAGCCAACUACACAUGCACUGUGGCACAAACUAAAAACAUGCAUUCUGCCAAGUUGAUGUCAAUGGUUGUAAACAAACACUUUGACUGUCCAAAAGAACAUGUGCAACUACAGAAGCUUAUAUGUGCAACUGAACAUACAUCACAGCCAACUGAAUCCUGUAUUCUCGCAACUACAAAAGUUAUACAUUUCCAACUGAACAUACAUCCCAGCCAAAAGAAAAUGUUGGUAAGUGGUACAAAUUUCUGUAUGCAAAACACUAACCUGCGGAUUGUAGGUUAUUGGUAACUUGGAUGCCAUGAAUGCUUCAGCUUGCAAAAUUCCACCAAACAGUGGUGUCUGCUCCGUGCCUCUAUACUCCUCUUUAAGCUGAUGUAAAAAAAGAGAAAAAGAAAAGAACAAGGUUAUCAAAACAGAUUUGUGUGUUGAACGAAACCAAACAUUAUAACCUGUGCAACUACAACAAGAUACUGGGGUAGACAAUUCGACUAUACAUAUAUGCAACUGAACAAAGACACAAGAACUGUGCAACCCACAUGGCACCUAAAAAAAGUUUCUACCAACUGAUGCCACACAUCUGUGCAACAAGAUUAGUAAAACUGUGCAACUUAAAAAAUAUGGUGUGCCAAUUUAAAAUGAACAUGUGUGCAGAUGCCAAACUUAAAGGUACAAGCUGUGCAACCACAUGCAUUGUUGUGCCAACUGAUGACAGUUUUUUGUGCAAUUUCCAAAAAAGUGACCAGACAUCAAAAGAACAUAAAAAGAAGAAACUGUUGGAAAAAAACAAAGAGAACUCACUUGUAAUUUGCCAAACACACCAGUAGAGAUGGUAUCCUUCUUGAUCACCUUGGCAAUUAGAGUACUAUCCCAUGCAUUCGAUCGUAUCGCGCAGUUGCUUACUGGGAUGUCAUGGACAAGCGCAUCAAGGUAUAGUAUCUUCACCAGACCCAACAAAAAAAAGCCAAGUUCAGUUAUUAUUAUGAGUAUUUGAGCAAACUAUAACUGCACAAAAAGAACAAGAACAGAUGGAAGUGGUCGUUUUCACUAACCAUCAAGUGAUACAAGCAGCAGCAGACAGUUUGCUUCUCCUGGUCCAUGUUCCUGAAAGCUUCAUUAAUGUGUUCUGCUACAAAGAGGCAGAUGUUUGUGUUCUUGAGCAUUUGAUGAUCUAGCACAAGUCCAUAGCACUUUGGGCUGAGCUUCAAGGCCGUGGUUGGUGCUAGAAAAGUGCUGAAGGCAACCGCAAGCCAGGCCAUAAAGAAUGUGUCAUCCGUUCUUCCAGCCAUAUCCUGAAUCAUCUUGAGCCAUGUAGUGAUCUGGGGAUGAGAAUUUCCAGUUAUGUUGAAAGCCUGUCUGAAUCUCCUAGUGGCAUCCUUGUCAACUAAAUAUCUGACUUUUUGACCCCUAUUUGGGAGAUCAAAUACCCUCUGAACACUGUCAGCAUCGACACGGAUCCUUCCCCUUCCUGGGAAAACCAUUUCAGAGGUCUGUGGCUGGUAGGACUGCACCAGGAACUUAGUGAGGUCCACUGGAAGUGUGUCUAUAAGUUCAAUAGCCCCCCGAACAACCUCGAAACUAGCUCUGACUUCUGUAGUGGGGUUAGAGAGGCGUUGAAAUUUGCAAACCGCGCUGGUGAUGCCCUUAUCCUGCCCGCUUGUGAUGGUCGCUCCACAUCUUCCCCUGCAGCCACCUCAACUCCUUCACCGCUGGCCUGUUGAUGAGAAUAUAAAAACAUUAAGGAAACAUUAAAAACAAGAGAAAAAACAAGAAUGAAAAAAAAUCUAGCAAUCAUCAUUUGGAUUCAGUAUUGGAAAAAGCUAUAUAUUCAUAAAAUGGAUCAUGCCAACUAAUAUGAUGUAUUUGUGCAACAGAUCAUGAGGACAACUGAAGACUGCCAGUGUGCAACCUUCAAACAAAUAAAGAAAUAUACGAUACCUGGCAACUACAAAAAGUUCUAACGGAUGUGCAACAAUAAGAAAUGAUAUUGCAACAAGAUAACAGCAACUAAAAAAAGGUUUGCAAGGAACUGUUCAAUAGCUCAUAAACACAAAAAAAACACAUACCUCAGCAUCUGUUGCGGAAGAUGCGACAGCUCCUCCAGCAACUGCUGCCUGCACAAAAAAAUGACCAGUGAUGUCAACUAUAAAGAAGCCAACUUGUCAACUACAAGAUGCCAACUAAUGUCAACUGUAUUUAGAUCAAGAUGACUAGAGAUGUCAACUACAAAGGUUGUUAUUGACAAACUAAAAACAAAAAUAGUGGUGAGAACUGCUGCAUAAUUUCAUCAGCGUCUAAAAAGCAAGAAACACUUAUAUUCGAGAAUUUACUUACCCUAGAAGAUGACUCAACUCCCUUUCCAAGUGCUGCACGUCUAGUCCGCUUUACAACACGGAACUGAUCAGCAUCCUAAGAAAAAAUAAAAAACAUGAGCAUGGGAAAAAAUAAAAAAGUGUUAUAUGACCCAAACAAAAACCGAAAAAUGGGCUUGUGUCAUCAGCAUGCCACUUACCUCAACAUCCUCUCCCUGCUCAACACUCCGCGUAGGUCGUGGCUGGCGAUUAGCAGGACGCUUCGAGUUCCGGCGAAGCGACUGACUUUCAGAACGCUGAUUAAGCAACCCAAAAAGAAAAUAUGAAAAAAGGACAUUAGCAUACGUGAAUAAGUUGAAAACAACUCAAAAACACAGAAAAAGUGAAAAAAAAAUACAUCUUCUUCAUUGCCAUCCGCAUCUCCUCCUAUUAUAACCAUUUUUGCCCUGCGGGAGGAAAUACAACAAAAGAAAACAUAGUUAGAAGAUGCGGAAACAAACUAGAGAAAUCAUAGAAGGUUGCUUUGAUCUGCAGACAUCUACACAUAAGCAGGACACAAAAUGCAAAAAACCAAAAAACAUGUGGACAACCAACUACUACAAUGAUGCAGCCAACUGGGCAGUAAACCUUGUGCAAACUGGACAGCAUAUAAGCCAACUAACUAUUUUCUGCCUAGGUAUUAUUUGCCAACUGUGACAAGUAAUAACUAGGCAGAAAAUAGUUAACUAAAGGCAACAAGCUCAGUAAGAUAACUUGUGCAAACUGGAACAAGCAAAAAAUGCAAAGCAAAAAAUCCAGCAAAACAAUUGGGUAUACUAUAUUGAAAAAUUAGCAACCAUUAGUGCUAAUUUGCAAAAAUAAGCGUCCCUAGUUGCACAUGAGGGGAAACACAUGAAAACAACCACAUCCACAACAAAGACUUGCACAUUGAGAAAAAUUAAAUUGGAAAAUUGGCAAGCAUUGGUACUAAUUUGCACAAUCAAGGGGCCCUAGUUGCACAAAGCAGGAGAAAACACAUGAACCACCACAGCCACCACAAGGCUGGUGGAUUGGGUACACUGUAUUGGAAAACUGGCAAGCAUUGGUGCUAAAUUGCACAAACAAGAGUCCCUAGUUGCACACAGCAGAGGGGGAAACAGCAAAGCCAACUAAGUACAGCAACUAGCACAAAGUGUAUAACAUAUGAACAGACAACUAGUAAAAAGUCAUGCAGCCAACUGAGCAGGCAACUUGUGCAACUGAACACCGUAUAGACAACCAACUAGUACAAACAAUGAGCCAACUGACCAAAACAACUGCUGCAACUGCAGAGCAUAUGGACAGCCAAGUAUUAUAUGGAUGCAGCCAACUGAGGAGAAUUUUGUGCAACUAACCACUUAAAUUACUGAACACCAACUACAAAAUCAGCCACUGCAUUGCACACAACAUUGCGCACAUCUAAUACAACUUGCAGAAUGACUAAGAAUCAUGAACAGAUCUCAAACCUCUGCAAAAUUGAACGGAACAUGAACUAAACAGCCAAAUCGCCCUAAAAUCGCGCAACGGGCGCCGUGGACAUGCAUCCCUUCUACCUAACGACUAUCGCGUACCCUGGCCAACUACACGUUGACCCUGGCCAGCCACCCCCGUGCCGUGAACUACGCCUCCUUGUAGAUCCCGACCACCGUUGGGCGCGUGCUACGAGAUAGGAGAAGGGAACUCAACGUGACCAAAAUCGAGGAUAAGCGGGGGUAGUUCGCGCCGUUCCCGAACCCUAGAGAGCAUUCCCCUCACAUUUCGGCACCAUCCGCGCUCCGCGAGAUAGAGAGAGGGAGGAGAAGCAUGUAGAAGUGGAGGGUGAGCAUACCUCCGACGGCGAGGAGCACCAGCGAUUCCCCCGCGAGGAGAACCACCCGCAAGCCGCCGCCAAUCUGAGCACUCCGCCGCGACGCCCCGUUCGGUGGAGAGGAUUGCGAGGAGGAAGACGAAGACGGAAUGGGGAGAGAGCACGCUGCGGCGAGGGAUUUCAGGCACACAUUUCGAAAACCGCCGCCCACGACCCCCACUACUCCCCUCCUCUACCGCUUACAGGUGGGCCUGCCCACGUCCGGAUAUGGACAACCGCCCACGACCGCGGUGCGGGGCCAAUCCAGACCAGGUGGCACCUGGCGGAUCUGGGCGCGAUCGCUGGCGCGAUCGAACGGCCAGGAAUCAGCCGCCCGUGUCUGUUAGUUGGUGGCCGGCCGCUUUUUAGAUUUUAGGUUUUAAAAAUAAUAAUCAAAGAGCUUAUUUAAACUUAGGGAACCUUUUUUUCCUGAGUGAAGGGAAGAGUGGGAACUAAAAGGGCAACAAGUAUCAUCAUCGUCCUAUGCGGAUUGAUCUGUCCUUCUCUUUCUGCCGCCGACCUUUCCCAUUUCUUUCUUUGGGAUAUAUGAUGGGUGUGACUGAUCCACGGCACCGGUGUCUGAGCCUCAGUUAUACAACCGCCUCCUCCUCCAAGUGGGGAUCGAUGAGCCCCAAUUUUUUGAUAGUAUGUGGGUGUUAUAAUGUGUUCCAUUUGUUCUAGGCCACACAAUACUGCAGGUUUUGUAAGUAUCUGAUGUUUCGUGGUUGUGUGAUUUUGAUUAUGGGAAGACUGAUAUCGUGCAAACGUGAUUCCUUGGCAUGUGCAUUAUACUAGCUUCUUUGCCUUUUUGGUCAGGCAGAUGCCUAAUUGUGACCCUCUUACUUCUUGACCAAAUUAGUUUAAGCCAAAUAUGCGCCUAACUUGGUGUUCACGCUAACCCCAAGCAGUAGCACUAAUUAAUUAGCAGCAGUAAAAUUCCUUCGCUUCCACCAAAAAAAAAAUAGGGGGCAAUGCUGCCUGUUUGUUCAGCAAUUCCAACAGCUGAGAAGGAGAGCAUCAAGCUGAAUAAAAAUUAUGAUGAUUGAAAUUGUGAAGGAUAUAAAUGCAAGACCUCGGUAGAACAGCUCCAAGCCGCCCCCAUGGCACCAUC
rnacentral:lncRNA from 1 species